CUAGUAUAUAUUUGGAGUAAACCCUCACUUGAGUUCCUGAAAGUGUCCCUCGCUAUCACACCGUCCUUGAAUCAAAUAAAACUAUCAAAAAGUCCUCCAUUGUUUGAUUCGUUAGUCAAUUGCGUCCUAAACGUUAACUUUCUGUCAAUGGUGUUGAUGUGUCCGUUUAACUUGCCACUUCAACUGCUUUCUUGUCCGUCCAUGUUGGCAAGGGACUAAAUUGCAUAGAGGACAACAUUGCAACAACCAUCUGUCUUUCCCUUCCAUCUCCUUCAUCAUCCAAUUCCAAAAUUAUCUUUUCAUCUAACCCAAAAACCAGAUUAUUCAAUCUCCUUAAAAAAUCAUAUGUCCCUCAUACCAAAGUUCACAAUGAGCACCUAAUGUCAUAAUAUGUAACUUCUCCUUCUUCCAAUUGUUGUUCUAUCACUGUUAUCUUUUGAUUGGAAAAUGGAGUUGUUCUGGUCUCGUUCUCCUCCUUCUAGCGGUGGUUGCCUUGUUUUAGGAUCAGGGGUGUUUUGUCCUUGAAGCUGCGUUCUGGGUUUGAAUCUUGUUUUGUGAUUGGAUUCGCUCAGAUUUGCGAAUUUUCUCAACGUUUAUGCGAUUGAUGCUGGGUUCUGUUUUAAAACCACCGGCUGUCCUUUGUUUCUUUGGUUUGGUUUGCUUAUUCAAAGGUUUGAUUAUAGUUGUGUUGGGUUUGAUUUAUGGUUUUUGAGAGAAAUCUGGGGAAGAAAAGAGAGUUAACUAGUGUUGCUACACCCAAUAAUUUUUUUUGCUAAAGUUGCACUUAUGGGGAUGUAAGAGAGCGACAACUUUAUUGUUGUUGUUGUUGAGAGUAACAACAACAAAUUUCUGAUUAAAUUUUCAUCCAUCAACCUUCUUUUAUCAUUCUAUAAUCAACAACAACAGAGAUUUCAGCUUCAUCAACACCAACAAUCACAACAACAACAAAUAUCUAAUUAAAUUUUCUUCUUGGAUUCAAAGGCAUAUGAGUUUGAAUGUUUAUGUGUGAUGAUAAUUUCUUGGAGAGAAUAUACGGUGGAGAAGACGAAGUGGCUGAAGAAUUGGUGGUUGAGGAUUAGGCUUGAUCAAGUAGUAGAAUAGUUUAUGGAAUGGAUUUGUGAGAAAUUUCUUUUUAUGUGGAUGUCGUAAAGUGGUUUAGAAUUGAUACAUAUAAGAUAGGAUUUGGAUCCAGCUUCUGGGAUUUGAUGAACAGGUUAAGCAAAUGGAUGAUGAAGGAGAAAGAACAUAUGAAUUUGCUUUUAUUUAGUUUUGAUGUUUUUCUGUUAUAAAAUUAAUUUUAAUUAAAAUAAAAGCCAACUAGACAUCCAAAAAUCAAACAAUUAAUUAAAAUAUUCUUGUGAGUGUGCCACAUCAACAUCAUUAAAUGACAUGUCAUCAAAGUUAACAACAAGUUAACGUUUAGGAACCCAAAUAAGGGUCUAAUUCUAUGGGAGUUUCUACGGUACACCUUUCAGUUAAGGAGUAUCAGUACAUCUAUUUCAUAAAUAUAUAAGUUAACGAUAAUUUUUAUGUGAUAAAGAGAUAUUUAUCGACUUUUAUAUUUUAGAAAAUAUUAUCCCAUAAGAAAAAAUAUCAUUUCAUUUUUUAUAAGAAUUAUACUAAAUUUUUUAACAUUUUAUUGAAAAAAUAAUCAAUAUUCACUAUUAUGAGUAAUAAAAAUUAAAAAAAUUUGAAUUUUGCUUUGCCGACACUUUUGAAAAAUAAAAUAUAAUUAUAAAUGAUAGAAAAUAUUUUUUUCUAAAGAAAAUAAAUCAUUAAACUAUUCAUUUAAAUACACGGGUGUACCGGUACACUCAAAAUUAUCGAGUGUACCAUAGAAAUUGCCUUAUGAAUAAGGAUCCAAAUGCAUAUAAAUACAAAUGGUCCAAUGGGAGUAAGAAUUUUCAGGAACAAUUGGACCAUUUCAUUUCUGAGCAGAAUAGCCGUUUUCAAGUAGUGUUCAAUCGAUUUCAAGUAGUGUUCGAUCGAUUACAUAUGAAUGCAUAUUCGAUUGAUUGGUCUGAGGUUAUUGACAAAAAAGAUUUGUCUAAGUCACUUUAUUUCUUUUUGUCCAAGUUUCUUCCAUUUUUGUCUAAGUCACUUUAUUUCUUUUUGUCCAAGUUUCUUCCAUUUUUGUCUAACUCACUUCCUUUUUUCUUUGUGAGUUUCGGUAAUAUCCCUGUUCAUAGGUCCGAGAUCCACGUGUAUGAAUUGAAACGUCCGAAUGAUCCACUCGGGAAUCAGUUGUUAGAAUCAAUAGGUCUUCAAAUCGUUCAUUUGAAAAAAAGGAAACCCUUCUUAUUGGAUGACUUUUAUACUUCUAAAAAAUCAAAAUUAUCCUUCAAUGAAGGAACAAUAUCACCAUUUUUGUUCAAUAAGAGAGAAAAUUGGAUAUCAUUCCGAAGGGCUAAACGGGCUUUGAAAUAUGACUCUCCACCUAUUUCAUUGUGUGCUUACCCCCCUUCUGCGUUAACAAAAAAGAUAGUAGAUAACGUAAUUCUAUGGGAGUUUCUACGGUACACCCUUCAGUUAAGGAGUACCAGUACACCUAUUUCAUAAAUAUAUAAGUUAACGAUAAUUUUUAUGUGAUAAAGAGAUAUAUAUCGACUUUUAUAUUUUAGAAAAUAUUAUCCCAUAAGAAAAAAUAUCAUUUCAUUUUUUAUAAGAAUUAUACUAAAUUUUUUAACAUUUUAUUGAAAAAAUAAUCAAUAUUCACUAUUAUGAGUAAUAAAAAUUAAAAAAAUUUGAAUUUUGUUUUGCCGACACUUUUGAAAAAUAAAAUAUAAUUAUUAUAAUUAUAAGAAAAUAUUUUUUUCUAAAGAAAAUAAAUCAUUAAACUAUUCAUUUAAAUACACGGGUGUACCGGUACACUCAAAAUUAUCGAGUGUACCAUAAAAAUUGCCUUAUUUUAUGUGUUUAGGGCUCACAAAUAUACACGGAACAAGAAAAUGGUUGUAAGGAAAGGAAGAAAAAAAAACUCUAAGGUUCAGUUUAGUGGUAAACCGAUAGGGUUUUGAACUGAAGCUAGUGUUAUUAAAAAGAUGUAAAUGUAAACUUUUUCUGCAAAUGUUUUCGAGUCUUAAGAUUUAAUUUGCUUUAGAUUUAGACAUCAUCGUGUCACAUGAAAUUUUUUUUAGAAGAAAAACAAGUACAUGGAAGAACAUUUGGUUGGUUGUUAGGGCUUCAAAUAUCCCAUUUGACUAUUAUAUGCUUGUGGAUGUAGUAGAUACUGUAAUCUUUCUCGUAUUUUUUUUAAUCCAUCGUACCUGGCCGUCAUAUCAAUUUUAUAUUUCAUUGAUAUUUUUGCUUUAGGAAUUGUUUAUUUUAUUUUAUUUAUAAAAAAAACUAAGUAUUCGGUCUAAGGACCGACUAUUUAGAGGAGUCUAAUCUCACCAUUCACUUGCGAAAGUCUCAUUUAAAAUCGGAACAAAAAUUUAUAUAAACUAAUCCAUCGAAAUUGACAGUGAAAAAAUCAAACCUGAUGUGUUCAAAGAAAAACUUCUCAAAGUUUCAAGUCAAAAUCACCUAAAUUUGCCUAUUUCUUUUACUUUUACUUUUUUUCAAUAAAAGAAAUUAAUAUUCAAAUUGAAUAGUUUUUCCUUGGUUUAGGAAUUAAAAGUCAUUCUCUUCCCUAAAAAAUAAUACAAAAUUCAAGUUAGCACUAAAAAAACACAAUCUUUUUCAAGGAGUUUGUUUUUACAUGCAACAUAUAUACACAUUGAGAAAAUGAUGAGAAAGUAUGCAACAUAUGAUUUUUUUUAUCAGACAUGUCCACAAACUAACGUGAAUGCCACAAAUUUGAUUGUCCGAAAAUUAAUAAAGAUAAUUUUGUCAUCAUAAUUAAAAUUAUAAUCAUUUAUCUUUCAUUUCUUUCAAAUUCCUUCAAUGUGAGGGGAGAAGCAGAAAGCGGUAUAAAAUGAAUUUUGGUCCCUUCUUCUAAAAAUUAGAUCAAACAUGUAUAGUUUAAAACAUACAAUAUUCGUCCGUGGGCUUGACUCAGGAUAUUGCAUAUUAUAUGCAUAGGUUGGGGUACAAACCUCGAACACCUUAUGGGUGUGUUUAGUUUGCAAAACAGUAAGUACUGGACAAAACAGUAUAAGAUAGAACAGUAUAACACAAGACAUAACGGCACAUGACAAAUUUUUUAUGACAUUGAAUAAUUUUUUGUUUUAUAAGAUUUUUGAAGGACAAAAUGUUAUUUUGGUAUUUUAGACAACUUGUAAGUGGGACAAAAAGUUGUGCUGUAGUUUGUAGUUUGGUGAGGGACAAAAAUAUGAGUUUUUGUCCUGUCCCUCACCUCCAGUUUGUCCAGUACCUGAAAUAAUUUUACAAAUCAAACACUGAACAAUUAGAGUUGUUCUGUCAUGUCCUUCAUUUUUUAGCAAAUCAAACACACCAUAUUUUUUUAUAUUUAAAAAUGUGCGAACUCUAACCAUUACUACUUAAAAAAAAAAAAAAAAGUUCAUCUCCUUUCUGCUGUACCACAACAAAAUAGACCCUAACAAUCUUGAAUAAUACAGAUCAUAGAGAACCAACACGUCCCUGUAGGUGUAGGUCUAACCUACUCCACCUUCUACAUAAUCGAUCACCACAUGAGAUACAAAAGUCCAACUGUAAUCUUGAAUGUUUACUUUGGAUCGAUGAAUUUUUCAAUCUAAUAAAUUUUGAAAAAAUUAUAUUAGUUAUGAGAUUUUUAAACAAUAAUUUAUCGUACUAUGAGCAUGCUUCCUCCAAAUCACCAAAUCUUCUUAUCAUUCACUAGCUAUAUCCAAACUAUUAAGCAAUGUUUUUUUUACCAUUAACAUCAACGAGGAGAGAAACCACUUAAGAGUGGGUCAUUUUUGGUGUGGUGUUUGCUGGACCUGGACUGUCCAACCCAAUAUUAGGAUCCGGCCCAAUUUUUGGUGUGAAAGAAUCUGAUAUCCUGCUGCUGUGUUUAUUUAUACAUUCUGAUGUGUUUAUUUACAUAAUGCUCACCAAAUAUGAGAGUAGCACAUAAUGCUACAUUAUAAAGAAUCAUUGGUGCUUCACCCACUGUCUAAUACACGGUUACAUAUUGUUGCCUCUUUAUACCACAUUUCCCCACCCAUAUGUUCACCUCUAGUUGUAUCCAUUCCCACCACAUUGGCACCUAUCCUGCAUAAUUAUGUAGCAGAAUCCUCAUGACAGCACAAAUCCAUUUAGGAUUGUUUGAAAAAAAAUUAAUAUUGGCUGUGUGAAUUCAGAAUAUGUGCUUUUGAUUACACAAAUUGCAAGAAAUCCACAUAGGCAUAACUUUCUUAAAAUUCACUGUUAGCAUAUGAAAUUUUUCCAUUCACUAUACAAUUUCAGUGGCUUUGGCUGCAGUUCCUUAAAUCCUUUAUAUUGCUAAAAACAGAUACGGGCCCGGGCUGGCCCGUUAGUGUAACGCCCACUUUCGUUUAAUCGUUAUUUAAUCGAGUUUAGGUGAUUAUAUUAUAUUUAUAUAAUAUAUGUAUGAUUUUGAUAUGUUUUGAUAAAUUGUGGUGAUUUUGGUGAUUUGAUUGAUGACGUGUUAGGUUCUGAGUUUUGGAGGAAUUGAUAAGAUUAGAGAAUUUAUUUUAUUGUUAAAUAAAAUAAAGAUUUGAAAAAUAUUUAGUUGAGGGCUGUUUUGAUAUUUUAGAUAGUUUUGGGGGAGAAAGUGAGAUAAGAUAAGUUAUUAGAAAGAGAUAUAAAUAGGAGAAGACCUAAUAUUUUAGAAACUCAUUGUACGUGAAAACUUUUGGAAAAGGGAGAAAAAGCUUAGAAGGGAGAAGAGCAUAGAGAGAGCUGCGAUUUCUUCAUAACCAGGUAAGGGUGAGACUAAUAAUUCAAUAGCAUUGAUUGUUGUAAUUCUGAUGAUUAAUUGACAAAGUUAGGAUUGAUUUAGAGAAGUUUUGGAAUUAGGUCAAAGCCCUAAAAAUUGAUGAUCAAACGGUAAAACUUGUUUAGAUUGAUGUAAGAACCGUCCUAUAACCUUAGAACAUGUUUAGGAUGAAUUCUGGAAUCAAAAUUAGGCUUUGAACCAUGUUGUGUGAGGGAUUUUUGAGAAAAAACCCUAGUCUGCCCGUGCUUCUGUUCAUCGCUCGCCACGGCGAGUGAUGAUCCUCGCCUCGCGAGUGAUGAACUUCAUCGCUCGCCACGCGAGCCCCUUUCCUUCGCCUCGCGAGUUGUUUGGUUCAACUCGCCAUGGCGAGCAACCUUCCUCGCCUCGCGAGCUUAGGCAGAGUGCAUGUCAUAUUUCGUGUUUCGACCUUUUUAGUUGAAUCUUGUAUGCCUUUGAGUACCUGAACUUACCUAGUAUUGAUUAGGAAUGAAUGUAGGAUCAGAGGGAACCCAGAACAAGCUUAGUUUGUGAGUUGAGUGGUGCUCGCCAUGGCGAGUAAGUACUCUCGCCUCGCGAGUACAACCAGGAUGAACUUGAUUAUGUGUUUGUGCGAUCUGUGUCGCACUUUUUGGUCCAGAGUGAACCCCUAAUUGGUAAUGAAACCUUAUGAUAACGUUUAAUGCAGUCUGUAAAGCUAUUGAGUUAAGUUGAUAUUAUUUGAGCAUGAUUAAGGUAUUAUGCAAUAUGUAAGAUAUAAUUGAAAUGAUUAUGAUUCUAGUAAAUUGUUGUUGAUAUAUUGAUAUCUCCUUGCAGUUAUGCGACUUGACUAUGCUGCUGCUGUUAUUUAACUGAGUAUGCAAUGUUUAUAUAUGAAUAUAAUGAAAAUGAUGACGUUUUGCAUCAAGUUAUUGAAUGCACAUGAUUACGAUGAUUAUGAUGUUUUGUUCAUAUGUGUCCAUGCAUAGCAUAUCAUUGAGCUUAGUCCUCACCACGAAAAUUAGGAGCUUUGUCCUCCGCACGUUUUAUAGGAGCUUUGUCCUCCGCACGAUUAAAGUAUAUUAAUACUUAUGAUGACGAUUGGUACCACAUGCAUAUAAGGAGUCUAGGAGCAUUGUCACAUUGUCAUGAUUAAGAUGCCUUGUUGAUAAUGAAUGGAUAUGUGAUUAUGUGAUAAGUGUUAUUUGAUUAUGUUAUGUUGUUUAUAAUGAUUGGUUAUAUGAUUACGUGAUAACUGUUUAGCAUUUAUGCAAAGUUAAUAAUGGAAUGAUUGAUGUUAAUUUAUGAUUCGCAAUUACAUUGAUUAAUGUUAUUUUAUUAUGAAAUCUCACCCCUUCUGCUUGAAAAUGUUGCCCUUCGUAUGGGUAACUUGCAGGUGAUCGUGCUUAGUGUGCAGUUGCUUCGUGAGUUGGCCUUGCCUUCACUGUGUCGUCUAGGUCGCUCUGAUACGUAACGGGAUGGGGUUAUAUGCUAUAACAUGCUUCAUUCUCUUACGUGGAUAAUAUGUUAUUUUUAUUAUGUUAUGGAAUAUGAACUAUUUUGAUGGGGCCUACGUGCCAAACUGAUUUAUGAUUUUUGAAUUAAAUAUUCCGCUGCUAUGUUAAAGAUAUUGUGAAGGUUAAAUUAUUAUUUAACUGUUUUUGGAUUACGUUUCUAUGUGAUAUCCCGUUUAUGGUUUUUACUCUGAUAAAUGUUUAAGAAAUUUGUAUAUUGGGAAAACGGGGUGUUACAGUUAGCCCGGUAUAUUUAUGUUAUUUUAUAUGUUCAGUACGUAAAAGAAUGGAAAAGGAAAAAAAAAAUACGGGUCAGGGCUGGCCCGUUAGCCCGGGAGCCCGUAUAGGGCCGGGCUCGGGCUCUAUUUUUCAGGCCCAUAUUUAAACCGGGCUUUUUAGCCCGGCCCUCAAAAGCCCGUUGCUCGUUCGGGCCGGGCCGCCCGUUUUGACAGCUCUACUUGCAAGGAUAGUGUUUGAAGCAGCAACCUCAAACAAUAUUAUUGAGCUGCAGGUAAAAUGUUGUUUAGUUUGAAUUACAGAAAAUUCUUAUGAUCUUCGUAAUACUACUUCCGUCCCUAACUAUAAGACUACUUUUAAAUUUUAACUAUAUUAAUUAACAUACAUUGCUUAUUGGCAGGACCUAUUCAUGAAAUCAACUCUAGAUUCUGUAUUCAAAGUUAUCCUUGGUGUAGAGCUGGACACAAUGUGUGGAACCUCUAAAGAAGGCACACAAUUUUCCAAUGCUUUUAAUGAAGCUAGUGCUACUAUUAUGUUUUGGUAUGUUAACUUUCUCUGGAAGGUUCAGAGGUUCCUGAACAUUGGAUCGGAAGCGGUACUUAAAAAAAACCUAAGAGUGAUCAACGAAUACGUGUACACAAUAAUCAAAAGCAAGAUUGAACAAUCUCAAAAGCCACAAAAAAACUCUCCCGAGUUGAAAGGAGACAUUUUGUCAAGGUUUCUAGAAUUGAAUGAGACAGAUUCAAAGUACCUUAAAGACGUAAUUUUGAGUUUUAUCAUUGCAGGAAAAGAUACAACAUCGAUCACUCUUUCCUGAUUUAUUUACCAACUCUGCAAGCAUCCUCAUGUUCAGGAAAAAAUUGCUCAAGAGAUUAGGGAGGCAACAAAAGUAGAAGAUGGAUCAACCACUGAUGAACUUGCAACUAGAAUAACCGAAGAAAGCAUGAAAAAGAUGCAGUACCUGGAUGCAGCUUUGACUGAAACACUCAGGCUCCAUCCACCAAUUCCAAUGGUAUUAUCUCUGUCCCUGAUUGUAUGCUCUUUUUAAAGGAAAAACUACCUUAAAUAUAAGGCUAGUUACAAGUUAUUAGAUACAUUUAUUCUAUUCUUUAUAAAUAUUAUUACUUGCCAAUACUAGUAAUUUGUCCUGAGAGCUGAAAAGUCAAUGUUAAACAUAUCUAUACACAAAGGACAACAUACUGAAAAUCAAACAUAAAAUGAGGAAAAUGAAGCUUCUGUUUCAACUCAUCUAUGAUUGAUUAUGCAUGUUCAGAAAAGAGGUGCAAAGGCCUGUGGAGCUGAGCUAGCAUAGUGGUGCAAAGGCCUGGGGAGCUGAGCUAGCAUAGUGGUGCAAAUCUCCCUCUGCCCCUGGCCUUGCAUUUGGCCCAAACGUGCGAUAUGCAAACUGUUUGUUACGGGGGCGACAACCCCCGCAGUACUGCUCCAGAGUAUUGUUGUAAUCCGAACCGUAACUUUCUCGCUUCUUGCUUUAGAAAGAUUGCAGUAUUAUUUAUAUGUCUUGUAACACUGUAAACCCUAAUACAUUUAAAUAAAUAUACAAAAUUAUAGAUGCUCUAUAGUCGCAGUGGUAGGUACAAUUGGCCUAACUGCGUAAACAAACGAUCGUGCUCCAUUAUUUUCAAUUUGCGUUUUCUUUAAUCAUUUGUUACUAGUUGUUAACGAAUAUUAGUGUUUAAUUUAAUCAUCAACAAUUUAUAUUACUCACUUUACAUUUGUUGUUCACUUUAGAAGAGUUAAUAAAAAAUUGAACCUCUUAAUUAAUUUCAUGUUAUGGUGUUUGUCUAUAGGAAAGCAAGUAUUGUUUUUCAGAUGACACGUUGCCGGAUGGAUAUAGUGUGAGGAAAGGUGAUUAUAUUUCAUUCCAUCCAUAUGUCAUGGGAAGGAUGGAGUUCUUGUGGGGUGAAGAUGCUGAGCAAUUCAGACCAGAGAGAUGGCUUGAUGAAAAUGGAAAUUUUCAGAGAGAAAGCCCUUUUAAGUUCACAGCCUUUCAGGUAUGAACAACUUAAUUAGGCGCUUGUAGCAUAAUCGCUUAUCAUAUACUCCCUCCAUCUCAAAUUGUAUGUCACUUUAGAAAAAAUAUUUGUCCUAAAUUGUAUGUCACUUUAGAAUACCAAUGAAACAUUAAUGUUACUUUUCCUAUUAUAUCCUUAACUAUUUAUUACUCUUUCUUUUUUCAAUUCUUUCAUUUAUCUUUCCCAUAUCAUUUAUUAAGGAAAAUUUUGUAAAACAACUCAUAAUAUCUCUUUCCCACACAUUGCAUUUCUUAAGAUGUGUGAAAUGCCCAAAACGUCAUACAAUUUGGGACGGAGGGAGUAAGUGCUUAUGUACAGGCAAUUUCUACCACAAAAGAUAAAAUUAAAUUGUUUUCAUUUAAGUUAUAUAUCCUAUUUUCAUAAACUGUUUAUAGACAGCUUAUGAGAAUAAGCUAAAAUAGCUUAUAAACAUGUGAUAUGUUGUUUUUGUAAGCUCUUAUAAGCACUGUCACCCCAGAUAUCUAUGUAACUUUACUGUCAAUGUGACAUCCUAACACAGGCGGGUCCAAGAAUUUGUCUUGGCAAGGAGUUUGUAUACAGACAGAUGAAGAUAUUUUCUGCAGUUCUGUUAGGUAGUCACAACUUCAAACUAGCAGACCAAAAUAGAUUGGUGAAAUAUAGAACCACGCUCACUCUACAAAUUGAUGGUGGGUUGCAUGUGAAUGCUUUUCAUAGAAAUAAAUAAUGGCCUCACUAAAUGGCAUACAUUUACCAUACUAUAUGGAUGAAUUACUACUUUAUUUUUUUUUGGUCAAAUAGCUCACACAAUUUAAUUGUGGAGAAGUGGAGUGUUCGGGGUUCGAACAUCGGCUCCUGCAUAUAAUAUGCAAUAUUCCUACCAACUGAGCUAAGCUCAUUUUACUUGAUGUAAAGAGUAACAAUCAACAUGUGCAUGAUACAUAAAAUAAACUCCUAAUACUAUUCAUAAAAUUUCGAUCGAAAUCUUUUGUUUACUUCUUAUUUAUUUAUGGAAACUAUCAUUGAAAAUGUGGAGAAUCUCAUCUUGCCAAAAAAAAAAAAAAAAAAAGAAAACCACACAAUUGGAACUGAAGAUAAAUACGUGGAAUCUAACAUUUUGGUUAAAAAAUGGAGGAUCAAAAUCAUGUUCUAUCACAAUUGAGUGACUAAAUAAAAUGAUUAUACCAAGUAAUCACUUCCAUGAAGAAAGCCUAUUCCAAUUCCACCAAGGAACCACUUUCAUGAUGGAACUGUUAAUUUAUUUUGCAUAUUGAGAGAUUUUAUUCCAAUUCCGCUAAAUAUUUUACUAGUUUGAUGAUACACACAGUAACAACAUGAAGAUGGAAAAAAAAAUGGUCUACCACAAAAAAGAAAAAGAAAAAGAAAACAACAUUAUGAUUUCCGCUUAAAAUCGAAUAAUAUUUAGUUCCCAUGUAUAUCAUGAUUAUGCAAAGUUUGGCCAUUUUAAGUAUGAGUUUGACGUAAGCAAGGGCCAAGGAGCAGUGCUAUUCGUUCGAAAGAUUUAUACAAGAAAUUAAGAGAAGAAUGCAUAAUAAUAAGAGAUAUUGACUAAUCAAAUUCUAUGUUAUAUGCUGCCACAUAUCAUUUAUUUUCUUGUCAAACUUUUUCUCUUAACAAUAAACAUCUUCCCAGAACAAUAUAUAAUUAUCUUCUUCAGCUGUCAACUGGGGUGGGAACAAAUGGCGAAGCCUACUUUUUGUUCAAUAUAUAUGGGAACAUAACUGCAUGUUGCUUUAAUGGAGAUGACUAGUUCAGUAUGAUGAAGCUGACAGGAAUGUUGACCUUUGUUCAAUGAGAGCUUUAACUACACGAGGUUUGGUUGUUCUGAACUUCAUUGACUUUGGAGGAUUCAAGUUCAUAUGAGUUGAAUGUGUCCUCAAUCCAUUAACAUAAGAGAAAUUAUAUGUAGACACACUCAUAUUCCAUACACCCUAUGUACCCACUCCAUGUGGCAAGGACAUUUUUGUAAUUUCAAACACCAGUCUCCUUUCCCUUUCCACCUGUUCCUUGUUUCUCUCACCAAACCAUCCCCUCUUUCUCUCUCACGCAUAUCACUCUCUCUAUCUGCACCUCCACCCUCUGCCGCCACCAUCCACUGUUGUCGUUCCUCAUUCUCUUUCGCCGGAAUACCUCUGUCUCAUCUGGCCACCGUCCCUCUCCUCCGAUUCAAUCUAUUUUUACGGCCGCCGUCCCUCACUCCCUCCGCCGGCAUCUCCUUCAAAUCCAACAGACGUUCAAAUCCGCUUUUAAAACAAUCAUUGUUUCUGUUUAGAUCCGGCUUCGACGUCGAUGAGAAGUAACGGUGGUGAGAGAUGUUUCUUUGAAUUUGGGUAGAUUUGAGAGGAGGAUAAGGAAGAGGAACAGUUUCACUCUGCCCCACCUCCGUCGCAUCCUCUUCUUUGUCUACGUCGUGAUUGGGCGCUCAACCCGUUAUUGAGAAGCUUGUAGAACUUGGACCCGUCUCCAUCAUUUAUUUUCGGUGGCGGUGGCCGGCGGCACAGUAGCCAGCGACAGAGGAAGAGAUAACAACGAUGUGAAUGAGAAAGAAUUGAAUUUUUUUUAUUUUUUUUUUUUGGUUUUAAGCUGGCACUUUUUUAUUUAAUUCUUAAAUAUUAAAUUUGCCACCUAAAGUGGUACAAGAGUGUGUAGCCACAUAAGGUGGUUUGUGUAUCAGAACUCUAACAUAAUUUGUUUUAGGUGUAGCAUUUUUUAUUUAUGGUUUAAAUAUGUAUUUCAUCAUUGUAAUUAGGGGUCGUUUAAAAAUUGGUCCAUGUAAUCGCUAAUCCUGACAAUUUACCCUUGCAUUGUUUAAUCAUUUAAAAUUUCGUCUCUCUCCCCACUUAAUUACUGUCAUGUCACUAAUUUGAUGACGUGGCAAUUACUGCCAUACAUGAAAUUCCAAUUUUGCCUAUGGGUUUCCAAUUCUUUCUUCAAUAUUUUGUCCUCUUCUUAAAGGCAAAAUUGAAAAAGUUUGAAUCAACAAUAACAUACAUAUGACCCCUCUUGUAUGAAAAAUAUACUAAAUUUAUACAAAACAGUAAAAAAAAAGAUUUAUAAUUGCAAUUUUACUUUAUCUUUCAGAGUCAUAUCUUAAAGUUAUUUCUAAUCGGAAAAGUGGGGGGUGAGUUUGGCUAUAUGCUUGUUUGGAGUAGUUGUGGUCACGCCAUGCAUGUUCGUUGUGAUUUUACCGAACUAACCAUCAAUCCAAAGAUACACUAUGACCAAAUAAAUGAGAUUUUUUUUGCUUUGUUGCAACUUUAUUUAAGAACUUAAUAGUUCUAGAUAUUUUUUUUUUCCUUUGAAAACUCGGUAUCGACCCUAGGACGACUAAUAUUUACUGUACAAAUAUUUGAAAAGAGAACAUAAAAUGAAACAAAGUAAUAUUUUUUCUAAUUAAAAGUGAAAUAAAUAAAACCGGCUUCUCUGAUCAUUUUCUUCUUACGUGUUUUAUUGUAACCUUAUGAAUCUUGGUUUUUGAAAAUGUAGUACCACAUUACAUUACAUGACAAAACAAUGAUGAUGUUUAUGAUGAUAUGAUGAUUACGUGAAUGGUUGGAAUGAAGAACCGCAACUUGCCUAUUAUCUUAAAACUCUUCGGAGUUUGGAUCUACUUAAAUCAACCCUUAUAUUUGUACACCUUGAUUUUGAUUUUGAGUAAUAAUGAUAUUUGUACAAUCAUUUUGGAAUAACUUUUAAGACAACAAUUUUUCUUCUUUUUAUAUUGGUAAAAAAUAAUAGAGAGAGAACAUGAAGAGAAAAAAUAAGAACACAAUUUAAGUAUGAGGAAGAGUUUGUACAAAUAUCAUUUCUCUUGAUUUUUCCACACUCAUUUAACAUCUCAUUUUAUUUUUAUCUCUCUUUAUAUCGCUUUGCUUACUUACUACGUUACUCGCUCUAUUCCUAUUUCUAAUUUCUUGGUGUAGAAUAGAUAAUGAGUGUAAAAAAAACAAUUUUCCUACUUAAUAUAAAAAUCCUCUCAAUUUCACGGUUUUUAGAUACUCUUAAUUUUAAUGCAUUUUUUUUGUCUAAACACUGAUCAAAAUUGAAAACACAAUUAGGUGAAUGAAUUUCUAUAUGCGGAAAUGGAAUUACGUCUCGUUCACUACUUUAUGCAACCUCAACAUCAAACUUUCAAUAUAUCAUUCAUGCACGUAUAAAAAAAAUCAGCAUAUUAUGGACUGCCCUUUACAUAUAUAUGUUAGUUCGCUAGUAUUGAAGUUCACAUAUUGGUUAGAAAAAAUUAUUAGAGAUAUAUAAUUAGUUACUAGUAACUAACUAACUAUAUCUCUAACUAAUAAAAAAAAGCAAUGAAAUUCAUUGAUUUUCUCUUUGCACUGAAACCUCUUUUUCCAAUACUAAUAGCAAUUGCUUUAGCUGGUUUUAUCAUCAAAAUCCAUGGCAGUAGAUUUUUUGACAAGAAAAGAAGAUAUCACCCUGUUGCUGGCACAGUCUUGCAUCAACUGUUCAACUUUCAUAGGCUGCUUGAGUACAUGACUGACCUCACAAGCAAAAGAAAAACUUAUAGGUUGCUUAGCUUUAAUAGAAGUGAAGUGUACACUUCAGAUCCUGCUAAUAUUGAGCAUAUGAUGGCGACGAACUUCUCAAACUAUGGCAAGGUAUAACUCGUAGUUACUAAUAAAUCGAUAUGUCACUUAAGAUAGAAUGUUCCCCCUAGGUUUGGCCCAAACUUUUGUUGGAUUCCGACUAGAAUGCGGGGGGAAAACUUCCAUUUGCACUUGGUCCAGACGUGGUAAUGACAUUCAAAGUUGUGGUUCAUUGUGUUGAUUGGAUGGUUAAUGAAUUGCGACAUAUUGUUAUAUUUACUAUCGAUCUACUAAACAUAAUUUUGACAAUAUAUUUGAGUUGCACUCUAACCAUCCAAAAUAUUGUUGAAAUUUGAUGUUGAAUUUGUGUGACAAAAAUCAUUUCUCUUAACGAAAUUAUCAAUAGAUAUAGUUAAUUAGAUAUAAAUGAAUAAGAACGUAUAAUAGUGCUCCUCCAUGGCAUUUAGCUUCAAAAUAUCUUCAUCUAUUGCAGGGUUGGUAUCACCAUAGUGUCUUGGAAGAUCUACUGGGAGAUGGUAUAUUUACAGUAGAUGGAGAGAAGUGGCGACAUCAGAGAAAAUCAGCAAGCUAUCAAUUCUCAACUAAGUUAUUGAGAGACUUCAGCAGCUCAGUGUUCAAAUCUAAUGCGGUAAAACUUGCAGGGAUAGUGUCUGAAGCUGCAACCUCAAACAAUAUUAUUGAGCUGCAGGUAAAAUUUUGCUUGGUUUGAAAUACAAAAAAUUCUUAUGAUCUUCGUAAUACUACCUCCGUCCCUAACUAUAGAACCUCUUGAAAUUUUCCCUUGCUCUUAAUUUUUGUGAUUUAGUCAACAAGAUCAUAUACUUAGGGACAGAGGUAGUAACAAUCUUGGUCUAAUCUGCAUAUCUUGCUUAUUGGCAGGACCUAUUCAUGAAAUCAACUCUAGAUUCUGUAUUCAAAGUUAUCCUUGGUGUAGAAUUGGACACAAUGUGUGGAACCUAUAGAGAAGGCACACAAUUUUCCAAUGCUUUUGAUGAAGCUAGUGCUGCUAUUAUGUUUCGGUAUGUUAACUUUCUCUGGAAGGUUCAGCGGUUCCUGAACAUGGGAUCGGAAGCAGUACUUAAAAAAAACCUAAGAGUAAUCGACGAAUACGUGUACACAGUAAUCAGAAGCAAGAUUGAGCAAUCUCAAAAGCCACAGAAUAACUCUUCUGAGUUGAAAGGAGACAUUUUGUCAAGGUUUCUAGAAUUGAAUGAGACAGAUUCAAAGUACCUUAAAGACGUAAUUUUGAGUUUUAUCAUUGCAGGAAAAGAUACAACAGCAAUCACUCUUUCCUGGUUUCUUUACCAACUUUGCAAGCAUCCUCAUGUUCAGGAAAAAAUUGCACAGGAGAUUAUGGAGGCAACUAAAGUAGAAGAUGGAUCAACUAUUGAUGAACUUGCAGCUAGAUUAACUGAAGAAAGCAUGGAAAAGAUGCAGUACCUGCAUGCAGCUUUGACUGAAACACUCAGGCUCCACCCACCAGUUCCAGUGGUAUUAUCUCUAUCCCUAAUUAUAUGCUCUUUUUUAAGGAAAAAACUGCUCUCAAAUAUAAGGCUCGUUAGCUGCUAUUUCAACUCAUCUAUGAUUAAUUAUGCAUGUGCAUAAAAAGAGGGGCAAAGGCAUGGGGGGCUGAGCUAGCAUAUAGUAUUGCAAAUAUCCCUCCGCCCUACCCUUGCAUUUGGCCCAAACGUGUGUUAGGCCAAACUGUUUGUUGUGGGGGCGACAACCCCGCAGUACUGUUUAGGAGUAUUCUUGUAAUUUGAACCGUAAUAUUAUAUAUGUCUUGUAACGCUAUAAACCCUAAUUCAUUUAAGUAAUAUAGAAAAGUAUAGAUGCUCUAUGGUCGGAGAGGUAGGCACAAUUGGCCUAACUACAUAAACAAACGAUCAUGCUCCAUUGUUGCAAGUUACGUUUUCUUGAAUCUUCUGUUACUAGUUGUUAAAGAAUAUUAGUCUUUAAUUUAAUCAUCAACAAUUUAUAUUACUCACUUUACAUUUGUUGUUCACUUUAGAAGAGUUAGAUAAAAAAAUUGAACCUCUUAACUAGUUUCAUGUUAUGGUGUUUGUCUAUAGGAAAGCAAGUAUUGUUUUUCAGAUGACACGUUGCCGGAUGGAUAUAGUGUUACGAAAGGUGAUCUUGUUUCAUUCCAACCAUAUGUCAUGGGAAGGAUGAAGUUCUUGUGGGGUGAAGAUGCUGAGCAAUUCAGACCAGAGAGAUGGCUUGAUGAAAAUGGAAAUUUUCAAAGAGAGAGCCCUUUUAAGUUCACAGCCUUCCAGGUAUGAACAACUUAAUUAGGCGCUUGUCGUCGCAUAAUCGCUUAUCAUAUACGUGCUUCUGUAUAAGCAAUUUCUACCACUAGAUAAAAUCAAAUUGUAUUCAUAUAAGCUAUAUCAUAUUUUCAUAAGCUCUUUCAAACAGUCUCACAAUAUAUCUCUAUGUAACUUUACUAUCAAUGUGAUUUCCUAACACAGGCGGGUCCAAGAAUUUGCCUUGGCAAGGAGUUUGCAUACAGACAGAUGAAGAUAUUUUCUGCAGUUCUGUUAGGUAGCCACAGUUUCAAACUAGCAGACCAAAAUAAAUUGGUGAAAUAUAGAACCUCGCUUACUCUACAAAUUGAUGAUGGGCUGCAUGUGAAUGCUUUUCACAGAAAUAAAUAAUGGCCUUACUAAAGGGCACACAUUUAGAAUACUAUAUUGAUGAAAUACUACUUUAUUUUACUAUAUUGAUGUUGUUUGCUGUCUUGAGAAGGUGAGCUGUUGUUGUUAGGGGUUUUAGUGGGAGUGAUGGUUUUUUGGAGCGACCUUGGUGUGAGAAGUAGUCGAUAGGUGUUUGAUUUUUGUUUGUGGUCAUUUACGAUGGAGUGUAAGGUUUUGAAUCAACUUUUGGUUUAUGUUGGUUUUGUGGGUGUUUAUCUUGGUUUAGGUGUUGAUUAGAAUUUGGAGGUUUAUUUUUUUAUUCGUGUUUAAGAUGUACAUGCAUUUUCUUUUGGAUGUUCCUCCUAUAUACGGCACCAUUGCUAUGUAGUUUCUAUCGGUCCCUGUUCAUCUUUUGCAGGUACUUUGUUAUUAAUAAAUUUUGCUGUUAAAAAAGAGAGUAACAAUCAACAUGUACAUGAUACAUAACAUGUAUUCAUAAAAACUAGUUUGAAAUUUCAGAUUUCUUUUACUUCUUAUUUAUUUAUGGAAAAUAUCAUGGAAAAUGUGGGGACCUCAAUCUCAUAUUUACAAAAAGAAAAAAAAAACAAUUAAAUAAAAAAAGGGAACACACAAUUGCAAUUGAAGAUAAACAUGUAGAUAAAAAUAGAAGAUCAAAAUCACAUUCUACGGCGAUAUUUGAACAAUAAGUGUAAUUAAGACUAUUUUUUUAUGCAAUUAAAAUAAUUAAAUUGUGUGACUAAGUGAUUCCUUUACCAAGUAACAACUUCCACAAAGAAAGCUUCCAAUUCCAAUUCCACCAAGGAACCACUUUCAUGAUGGAACUGUUGAUCUGUGUUACAUUUUGAGAGGGAAAAUGUUACAUGAACACCCUUUAAUCAUAUAUCCUAUUGUACACCCAAUGCAUUAAGGAUAUUUUGGUAAAUUCAUCUCACAACCAUACUUUCUCUUUCAUCUCCUCUCCCUUUUUCUUGCCACAUGUCAUAAUUUUGUGUGGGUGUAAGAGAUGUAUUGCCACAUGGGGGUAUGGGGGUGUACAUGUAUCACCACUCUUUUGAGAGAUUUUAUUCCGAUUCCACUAAAUAUUUUACUAGUUUGAUAGACAAAGAUAGUCUACCACAAAAAAGGAAAGGAAAAAAAAAAAUCAACAUUAUCAUUUUUGCUUAAUCGAAUAUUUGGUUCCCGUGUACCAUGAUUAUGGGAAUAGCUUAGAAGGAUAGGCUUUGCAAAGUUUGGCCAUUUUAAGCAAGAAUUUGACGUUCCACCAAAAAAAAGAAGAAGAAUUUGACAUAACUUGUUAAGUUUUUUUUUGUUGAGUUUGAGAUAAACAAUAUUUUUUUUUUAAGGAGUUUGAGAUAAACAUUUGAACACACCAUUUAAUCACACACAUAAUUAUGACAAAUAUAUAAGAUAUAUUUUAAAAAUAACAAAAAGAUAUAUUUAUAUGUGUUUAAAUGACGUGUCUAAAUAUUUGUGACCGCAUUAAUAUUUUCUAAUCACGAUGCUUUGAGACAAAAAUAUAUGAAAAAACAUUGAAUGGAAAAAUAAAAAUACUUAUCUUUUUGUUCUUUUUGACAUAAAACAACUAACAGUGCUAUUUGUUACGAAAGAUCUAUACAAGAAAUAAAGAGAAGAAUGCAUAAUAAUAAGAGAUUUGACUAAUCAAAUUCUAUGUUACAUGCUGCUACAUAUAAUCAUUUAUUUUCUUGUCAAACUUUUUCUUAACGAUAAACAUUUUCCCAGAACAAUAUAUAUAUAUAUAUAUAAUUAUCUUCUUCAUGCAGCAGUAAACCUUGAGUGCCAAAAAGGAUCAAAAUGUAAUCCAAUAGAAGAAAUAAGAGGCACUCCUCUAGCUUUAAUAAAUCUAAUUCUCACAACACGAGCAUGCACAACAUCUCCAUCAAGCCUAUGAAGCCUCUUGUAACCAAUUGUUGUCCCUUGGAUUAUUGAUUUACCAUCCACAUAAAUUUCAUACCGUUCGAUCCUUUGACCAAGUCCAAUUGCUUCUUGUAUUCUAAUCACAUUAAAUCUUAAACUUCCAUCAUUACCCCAAAUUUCAAUCCAAUGGUCCUUUUCCUUAUCAUCUUCCCGUGGGGUCCAAUAUGACCACAAAUGGUCACUAUCCAACAUGUUUUCUGGACCAAACCCUCCCUCUUUUCCUCCUCUUUGGCUACUAACUUUAACAUAACGAUUUUCAGCUAUGUUUUUAUGAAAUAUUGUAUCAAUUGCACUUCUAAAUUCUUUUAAUCUAUGUGCAUCAUUUUCAGAUAUAAGACCAGUUGUAUUAGGAGGUACAUUAAGAAGUAACACACAAUUUCUUCCAACAGAUUUGUAAUAAAUGUCAAGUAGGUCACUUAGUUUUUUUGGUGAUUCUGAUUUAUGCCAAAACCAUCCUGGACGAAUUGAAACAUCACAUUCUGCUGGUAGCCAAUCUGUCCCUUUUGGAUCACCAGUGUUCAGAUACCUGCAUUGUGAUUAACAUGAAUUAUUAUUAUUAAUUCUAAAAAGUAUAAUAAAAAUAUUAUAGGUAUGCUAGGGUAUGGGUUAAUAUAAUUUGUUCAUGAUGGAACCGUUGAUUUGUUUUGCUUUUUGAGAGAUUUUAUUCUGAUCCCACGAAAUAUUUUACUAGUUUGAUACACACAUGAGUGAGUGACACGCAGAGUGAAAAGUCUACCCCAAAAAAGAAAAAGCCAACACUAUUAUUUUGGCUUAAUUGAAUAUUUAGGUCCCCAUGUAUCAUCAUUAUGCAAUUUUCUUCUCACACAUAUGGCUGAGAAUAGUUUAGGAUAAACAUUACAAAACCUAAGUUUGACCUUAGCACGAAACCAACAUAUUAUGUUCAUUUUUAAGGUAUUAUCUUCGGUCAUAAAUAUAAGUAAAAAGUCAAAUGUAUUUAAUCUAAAUUUGGACCAAAUACAUUUUACUUUUGCUUAGGGUUAGGUAUCCCAAAUACCUCAAUUGUUGAUGUCAUGUUGGACUAAGUAUUAACCUCACAUCUAGGUUAGCAUUUGGACCAUUAAUUUAUGGAAGGACUUGAUUGAAACGAAAUGUAACAAUCGAAAUAAUUGAAGACUUAAAUUAGUUGGUUGCUUAGGGACAAAAUUUAUACAACUAAGCAUGCAUAAACAUGAUUUAUGAGACAACGAGUUUGGUAACCCACAUUUUUUUUGCUUACGAUGGUUGAUUUGAUUUAGUACCUACCUUACUUUUGAUUUAGAAAGGAAUAUAGAUCACAAAAGAAUGCAGUUUCUUUACUAUUUCCUUUUGAUCUGAGUGGAGAUCAUGCAUUUUCUUAAUAAAGAAAAGUUAGCACUCAAGCUUCACAUUCCGUACCUUAUCAUCAUUCUAGCUAUAUUUAUCACCAUAGAGUUCAGUGUAAGUGGCAAAAUGUAGAAUCAACCACUUUUUUGGCAUGCUUUUGCUUAAAAAAGAAAAAUAAGAGCACUUACUGAGUUAUGUUUGAAGCUCCAAUUGAAAGAGAUGUUCGAUUAAUGGUAGACCAACACGUGUCCCCUGCAGUCCCUGUUUCAUCCCCCACCCAUCUAACAUCAGGUCCAGCAUCUGAGAAAAUAUUGAUAGAACUUUGCAAUUCCUUCACCAUAGAAAACCAAUCUGAAAAAUAAUAUGUAACAUUUUGUGCCCUGGGAUCUUUUGCUCCAUCAAACCAAAUUUCCCUAACAUCUUGAUAUCUAUAAAAACAAAAAGUAUACAACAUAAUGUAAAAUUCGUAAUUGUCAUUGGAUAUCUGGAUUGACAAUAAAUUUGAUAAAAUCACUAUGACACGCGUAACUUUCAUUAAAGUUAUGGUGAUAUACAACCAUUCUUCUAAUUAAAUCCAAACAUUCGCUUAAUCUAUGAGAUCAAACAAAGCAAUCACAAUACAUAAAAUAAAAAUUUGAGACUCACUUUUUAAGAAGCUCUUGCAAUUGAGCCAAAUAGUAUUCAUUGUAAAGCAAAUCAUGACCAUAUCUAGAAUCAUGUCUAUCCCAAGGUGAAAGAUAGAUCCCAACAUCAAUUCCUUUAUCAGUGGCUGCAUUGACAAACUCUUUAACAACAUCACCCUUACCAUUUUGCCAUUUACUACUAAUGACAGAAUGUUUAGUGUACUUAGAUGGCCAGAGACAAAAUCCAUCAUGGUGUUUUGCAGUUAAUAUCAUCAAUGAAAUUCCUGAUUCUGCUGCCACAUUGGCCCAUUGGGUUGUGUUGAGUCCAAUUGGAUUGAAUAUUGAUGGAUUUUCAUCGCCUGUGCCCCAUUCACUGUCACUGAAUGUGUUGACACCAAAAUGAAGGAACAUUAUGAUCUCUCUUUGUUGCCAUUUUAAUUGUGAAUAUGUUGGGAGUGGGAGAAUUGGUAAUGGUGGACUUGGUACUUGUUCUACCAUAGAAAUGCAGAAAUUGUUUAGUUGGAAUAAUAGUGUGAAUAAGAAAAAAGAACACCAUAGUCUAGCCAUGAUGAUCUUGAUUGUUUUUUUUUUUUUUGUUUGUUUGUUUGGUUUUCUAUGAGGGUUGAGGGGAAUGGGGACAAGAGUUGAAAAAUGUGAUGAAUAGAACUAAGACAAAAGGUGAAGUUAAGAUAAAAUCAUCAUGUGUGUUAUGUUCAGUUGAUUAUUUGUCUUAUAGUAUUCAUCACACUUUACAACAAUGGUUCACAUGUUGAUUUUUCUGCUGUCAUUCACUUUCCACGAAGAUAAAAGGUUUGCUUCUAUGUGUCGCUUUCAUUCUUUGCUUGUGCGGGGGUCUAAGGUAAACCCAUUAUCAUAAACAUAAACAGAAGUGUUAUUUGAACAAUCAGUGACAAUUUAUUUAACAACUAAAUUUUACAAAGAAAAAAGUGGUAUUGGCACGAAAACUAUAGCAAUAGAGAGAUAAAAUAAAAAAUAAUGUGAGUAUGAGAGAGAAAAUUAUUACAAAAGUUGUCACUAAUGGAUGUUCAAAUAUCAUUUCUCUAUCAUAAAUGGACCAUUUCACAUGUGACUAUUGAUUUGUUAAUUUUAAUUAUAAAAGAGUGGCUCCGAUUUCCCAAAGAUUCGUUAACAAGUAAUAAAAUAUUAAUGAUCUUGUUAACAAGUAUUCUUGAACACUUUUUAAGAAUUUUAAAUUUUAAAUUAUUUCUUCAAAAAGUUAAAUAUAAUAAUUUUCAAUGUAAUCGAUACACAAAUAUUUAUAAAAAUAUAUCAUUUAUAAAAACACAAAUAUUUAUACUAAACGUGGGCCAUAAAAAUAAGCAAAAGUGAUUAAAAAAAUCACAUAGUUUUGAUCUAGGUUUCGAAAUAAAUCUAUUUGACUUUUUAAUCUAUUAUGCUCAUUUUUUAUUAAGUCAUGUUAGUGCUACUGGGAUAUUUAUUAGUUUGUUAAGCCGAAUUAACUUUUAUGCUGGUUUAGUUGUUAAACCCAAUUAACUUUUAUGUUAGGAUCUCUCCAUAUGGAAGAAUAAAUUGAGUGAAUAAUUUGUAGAGAGAUAGAUACAAAAAAUAGAUAGUGAAUUUUACCAUUAAGUGAGUUUCACCAUAAUUAAUUAUUUAGUUAAUAGUGUUUUUCACCCAUGUAAUAUAUGUCAUUUCCGAUUUUCGCCCCUAUAAAAUUUUCGGUUUGAUUUGCACCCUCGUAAAAAUUUUAUUUUCCAAAAAAACAUCUAUAAUAGACCAUUUUCAGAAAAAAAAUUUCAUAUGUCUAAUUUUUUAUGGAGGAACUUUUAUAAUAUCCUAAGCAUUACUGCAAAAAAAAUUCAAAGUUGAAGCAGCAUUGGUUUGCAUCUAGAACAAUUUCUGUAGACAAACCUUUUGGUUAUGGCAGAUUCAAAAUUGGAUUUAUUUAUAUUUAAAAAUUAUCUAAAACUUCGUCCUUCGGAAACUGAGGUUCCCUCUUGUCCUCAUUGUUAUGGUUAGGGGUUUAAGAGCAAAACAAAUUAACAGAUAUGAAGUCAAAGAUUCAAUCCAAUCAAAUUGGUUCAUCUUUUUUCCAUGUUCGAUUCAAAUAAUAUGUCAUUGAUAGACUAAAAUUGAUCGCACUAAGGAUCAAACAAACGAUUUAGAGUUCAUAGGCGAGAUGCAUAACUGCUUCACUAGAUUGUAUGAAUGUUAUGUAAUGUAAGCGUCACUAUAUAUAAUAUAAUAUUUAGGUAAAAUGUGUUUAUAUAUACCUAUUAAAAAUGAUUUUUUUUGAGAUUUUGGGGACGCCAUGGUCAUCCCCAGUCCCCACCUAGAUCCGCCUCUGAAUCAAACAUAUCAAAUUCAACUUCUAUUGGUUUGGGAUAUCAAUUUCAUAUAAUUCAAAAAACGAUCACAAGAUGGCUACAGGUUCAUUGCGUAGUAUUGUUUGUGGUGUUGGUACAUCUAUAGGAAGUUAGAUUGAUGAUAAUUCUAUUUGUGAAUUAGGUGAUGGUAAUUUCUUUUUAUUUUGAUGGGAUCCUUGGUUGGAAGGAAUAGCUUUGAAAGAUAGGUUCAAUCGUCUUUUUUAGCUUUCUGAUAACAAGAUGGAUGCGGUGGCUAAUAUGAAGCUUUUAAGGUGGGGGUAAGGGUGGUGAGGCUUGGAAGUGGCGCAUGAGGUUAUGGGCGUGGGAGGAGAGCGGUUGAGGGAGUGUAAUGAUUUGUUGAACUUUGUUAUUUUGCGGGAUGAUGUUAUUGAUAGGUGGAUGUGGAAUAAAAAUGCUUUUUUAAAAAUCAAUCUUUUUGUGUGACGUCUUCUUCUCAACCGCCUUCCAACAAAAGAUAAUUUGUUCAAAUGAGGGGUGAUUCCAGCUACUUCUCAAUCUUGUGUGGAGGGUGUGGUAAUCUAGAAAUGUGGCUCAUCUUUUUCUUCAAUGUGACUUUUUCAGUCAAAUUUGGAUCGUUGUUUCUGAUUGGUUAGGCUUCUUCAAGGUCAGUCUGUUUCAUAUUUUAGAUCAUUUAGAUCAGUUCGAGUACUUCAGAAGUUUCUCUAAUCGCAAGCAUGGUAUUAUUCGCUUAAUUUGAUUUUCUACAAUUUAGGUGUGAUGGAAAGAAAGAAACACGAGAAUCUUCAAGAAUACAAAUGAAAAUAUCCACGACUUGCUUGACAACAUAAAUGCACAAUUUUUUAGAUGGUUGAAAGCGAAACACAAUAACCUUAUUUUUGAUUAUCAAAUGUGGUGGCUAAAUCCUUUCUCAGUGUUUUCUAUGGUGUACCGUAUAUGUGUAUGAUUUAAUUUUACAUUCUCUUUGUUUCACUAUAACAGUUCUUAUACAGGAUAAGUAAAGAAGGUUGAUUUAUAUAAUUUUAUUUUAGUUUAUUUUAAAAAAAAAUAUAUUCCAUCUUUGUUAUUCUUUUGUAGCACUUCGAGGUUGUAUAUACUAUGGUUUUCCUUAAAUAUGAGUGAUAUUUGCGCUAAGAGGAAUAUAGAAUGUCUUCGUUCUAAAAGACUUCUCUCUACUAAUAUUAAAUUGUGGAUUGAUGGAUCCAAAACCCUUGCAGAGCCUCGCAAACCUCAUACUAUAAUCGACACACUAUACACCAUGCUACUUUUACAAAUCAUAAAACAAAAAACAAAAAAACAAAACGAUAGACGACAAAUACAAUGAUUAUUUUCCCUCUCAAAAAAGUAUAUAAUGAUUAUUUUUCUGAUUCCUCAAAAAAUGAUUAUUUUUCUGAUUAAAUUUUUUUUUUAUCAAACAUAGUAUAUAAAAUUUAGAGGAUGACACAGCCAUUAGGAUCCUCUUCAACGCUUAUGGCACGGCAGUAUAGCGGUUGCAUCUGAUGAUAAUAGGUAGAGGUAGGUGUACUAUAGUACAUGAAAGGAUUAAUUAUCAUUGGUGGAUCUUUCUUAUCAUCUUCCUUCUUUUUAUCAUCUUUUUUAGGUUCUUCUUUCUUUUCCUCUUUACCUGGUCCAACCGAAAGUAUUUCUGCAUGACAUAACUUUCUUAGCUUAGCCACUAUAAGUACUGGGUCGGUAUCUCCUACUAAGGUCAUUUUCUUGUCUUUGUCUACUUCAACUGACUCAACCCCUGCAAAAUUAUUAAAAUACAGUCUUAGUAUAUAUAUCACUAAAAUAAAAAUCGACAAAUCAUUGAUUCUACGAAUUUAGAUUGUUGUUAUAUCUGAAUUGUCCAAUUAAAAUUAGACGAUUCAAAUUUUAAUAUAGAUUUUAUUUUAUUUUUUAAAUCUAAAAUAUCGAAUUUAGUCUAAUAUAUGACUAAGUGUGUGCAGUCCUAAGAUUGUGACCGCACACAACAUUGAUAUUGAUGUUACAUAAUCAAUGGAAUUUUUUUUCUUUACCUGAGAGGCCAGAGACUGCCUUCAUAGCUUUUUGUUUAAUUUUGUCUUCAUGAAUCUCCAACUUUAGCACAAUUUUCUGUCAAAGAAAAAAUAUAGUUGUUAGAACUGAACACUCACUAUCUUUCUAAAUUCUAAGUCUCAAACUAAGAUUACCAAAGAAGUACUUCAAAUUCAGGCUUGAAAUUGUGCAUAAGAAAAGGAAAAUUUACCAAUCAUGUUUCUAAAUUCUAUGGUAAAGUAUUAACUAACCUUCAUAUUGUUAUGGAAGCUUAUGAGCUAAGGUAGAAGAAACUCUUGAUGCAAAUUGUAAUAGAAGGGAAAGAAUGAAGAACUAGGGGGAUUGAAGUGGCAAUAGGAAGAGAUAAUUUUCAAUUUGAAGUUAAGUUAUGAAGUGAAGAUGAUAAUUUGUGGCUUAUUUAUAGUAGCAAGGUAAGGAAGACUUGAUGAUAGAAGCAGGGGUCAACCCAAACAAGUACAAAUUCGUGAUUUUCCUCGAAAUUUAAGCAGCAGAAAUUAAAGACUUUUUUUUUUAGGGGAGAAAUUAAAGACUUGUCCAAGCUAAGUUUAUUUUUCAUAUAAUUUUAAUAUUUAGUUUUUGACUCUUAAAAAAGUAGAUCUAAAUUACCAACUACUAUAUUUAGGAGAAAAAGUAAGAAAAAAAAAGUAAGGAAACUUUCCAAGAAGGCAUCAUGUUGCUUUAACGUUGGAAUCCCCAAACAUUUUUGUUGGCGUUGGUAUGACUUUCAGGCUACAUGUGUUACACUGGUCCAUUUGUUUCCGCGUCGCCCCCAUACAUGUGUCACACAAGUAUAAUAUAGAUUUCUUUUUGACGAGACGAGUUUAAUAUAGGGGAGCCCCUAACAUGCACCCUCCAAAAAGUGGUCCAACCAUGGUCCUCAUAGUUCUACCUACUCACCAGAUAAUGUACCGGUUGAUAUUGUUAAAAGUCUUAUAUCAAAUAGGAGAUGAUGUGUAUUUAUAAAUGGAGGCAAUCAUCAUCUCACAAAUCAGUUUUGUGGGUUUGUGUUAGGCUCAACCAUGAUUUUUAAAAGGUAUAAUAAUAAAGUUAAAACAAAAAAUAUCAACUUUACAAAGAUAUAUAGACUUUACACCACUCGUUCUCAAGUAGUACUAUUUCUACUGCAUGCAUUACUUUACUCUCUACAAAUUUAAGCUUGACAGAAAGUGAAUUGAAUUUGCUAGUUUUCCUUCUGACAUGCUUGAAACAGUUUAUUUUAUUUUUUUUAAAGAUGAAACAGUUUAUAACUUGUUUGAUUUAACAACUCGGGAAUUUUUACCGGAUCUGAUUUAAGAAGUUCUCGGAAGAAUAUAUAUUGUGUAUUUCAUUUUUUAGGGUAAGGCCGGUGAUCGGAAUGAGAAUGGACGACGGUGCAGAAACUGAUAUUUUUUUUUCCUUUCUUUUCUUUAAUUUUCUAGAAGGGUGGAGGAACUGAAUUAAUGUAUAAUGUGUUGUAUAUUAUUUAUUAACUAAUUAAGAGUUAUUAAACAUUCUCUAAAAAAAAAAAAAAGGGUCAUUAAACAUAUAAACAAGUUUAUCAAAAUUAAGAAGGAUACUUGGCAGGGGAUUAUAUCAAAGAUGACAUACUAGGUAGAAAAGAAGCAGACGAAAAUGAGCAGAAUGAAACAGGCUGUAGCCGGUUAAGUUGGAGGUCCAUAUUUGGAUAAAGAGGUUCGUGUUAGGAGUGCAUCUUUGCUCCAUUUAUGAGAGCUCCAUUUACACCUGUUCACUGCAUAGAUGUAUGACACGUGGAAAAAAUAAAAUUAAAGCUCAGAUUAAAAGAUUAAAAAUAGGUAUUUGUUCACUGGAAGAAAAAAAAAAAAACCUAUGCGCUUCAGCUUCUUUCUCUCUCUGAAACAAUACCUCCUCCUCCUUUUUCCUCACAAACAACGUCACUGCAUUUUCUGAACAUUAACAAACUUCCUUUAAUCUUGUGCAUGUUUAAACCAUACAGUGACCUAGUAAAUUUGUUUAAUCAAAACAAGCAUAUGUUGGGAUAUUCUUAAAACGGUGAUAUCAAUCGAAAUUCAAAUGCUACAAAUUUAUCAUCCAAAGAAUAAUUCCCUCACCUUUUCUUUUCUACUUUUGUUGUUAUUGGAAGAUUUUGUAGAUCAAUUGUUGUUUCAGUUUUUAAUUUCAAUAUCUCCGUUGAUAUCAAUCUGGAUCGUUUUGUUUUUAUUUUUUCCCUGUUGUCUCGAAGUAGUUAAUUUCAUCAGAUGGAGACGAUCGGACGGCGCCGGCGAGAAGGAGGGGCAGCGGCCAUGUUGUUUCAGAGAAGAAGAAGGAACGUGGGGCUGUUUGAGAGAGCGUGUGUAUGAUUUUUUCCAGUGAACAAAUGCCUAUUUUUAAUCUUUUAAUCUGAGCCUUUGAUUUUGUUUUUGCCACGUGUCAUAAAUCUAUGCAGUGAACAGGUGUAAAUGGAGCUCUCAUAAAUGGAGCAAAGAUGCACUCCGUGUUAGGGGGCAUCUUAAUAUAGAUAAUCUAUUAUCUUAAUAUACAAGCCCUAAACUAACUUUUAGGAUAUUGAUCAGACUUUACUUACCUCUUAUUUGAAUUUAUGUUAUCAAUAUCACUUCUUUCUUAUGAUAAAGGAAUGUUAACAAAAAAAAAAAAAAAAAAAAACUGGUUUUGUCUAUUUUUAUAGGACCAUUUAAUAAAAUCACAUAUAUUGGGAAAAUUGUUGAAAUAAUAAUUUUUUACAAAGUAUGCCUAUUACCAAAUUACAUUUUUUGUAUAGAUGGUAUUUAAUGUUAAUUUUUUAUAUUCCAAGAUAGGUUGUAGUAUUAGUAAGGGGUAUUAUGGGAAAAAAAAUAUAAAUGCAUCUAGAAAUAUAUAGAUGAUCUUAUAAUAUUUAGAGACAAUUUUUUUUUAAAAUGGUCUUAUAAUAUUUAUGCGCGAGUUAACUCACGCAUGUUGACCGGUGGUCAGAACUGAAGAACAAACGUUUUUUGGCCGGUGGUCAGGUUUUCAACCUUCAAUCCACACUUUUUCUACAAACUUUACACGUUUUUUUGACCAUAUUUAUGGUGUUAUAACCUACACUACCAUUUCCACCUAUAAAUAUCCCUCCAUACUUCCCUAUUUCUUCACACGAUCUCACUUUCUCCCCCUCCUCACUCUCUCCCUCUAUUUCUCUUCUUUCUUUCUUUUUUCAAUAUUCUCUUUGGGGGCAAAAGUGGUCAAACUUCUUCGGGGUAAAAUAGUGAGUAGCCAACUUGGGGAAGUGAUCGACCCUUCGGAUAAGUUUAAAUCUGCUUUUUUUUUACUCCAUAAACUUUUCACCGUGGGUAAAAAGAUUCUUGUUGGGGUAUUAAAAAAACCAGAUUUAAAUUUAGCCCAAUGGUUGGUGAUGUAUUUUCCCGAAGAAGGCUGCUCACUAUUUUACCCCAUGAAGAUUGAUCACUUUUUACCCCAAAGAGGAAGAAAAUAAGUAGAAUAAAUUAAUGAAUUGGAAUAAAUUAUUGUAUCAAUUAUUGUAUUGUAUGAAUUCUAUUAAUAAAAUGAGAUAUUGUUAUAUGCAUCAAUUUUGUUCAUUCCUUUUUAUAUUUGCUUUUAUUUAUAUUUGCUUUUAUUUUCUAAUUUUGUAUUUAAUGAAUAAAUAUUAAUUUAGUUCAUUUACUUUUAUUUAUAUUUGUAUUUAUUUAAUGAAUAAUAUCGAAUCAAUAUUAAUUUAAUAAAUAUUAAUGUAUGAAUAAUUAGAAUAAAGUAAAUAAAAUAAAUUAGAAUAAAGUAAAUAAAAUAAUUUAGAAUAAAGUAAAUAAAAUAAUUUGAAUUAAAAAUUGCGAUUAAAUAAAUUCGAAUAAAAAUUGUGAUAGCGUGAAUUCAAAUAAAUAUUGCGACAGCGUGAAUUCAAAUAAAAGUUCGAAUAAAAAGUCAAUAAAUAACUUAUAUAGCUGAUUCUCAGUAAUACAUGUUCUUAUCAUUACAUUACAUUUCGGAAUGUACCUUCCAACUGCAACAAUUAUUUACCACUGAAUGGGGCAAAUUCAAACUUGCUAAACAGCAGGACUCCAAUGAUGGUAUUCAAGUGUCAAAAGAAUGAGGUGCAUUCCUUGACACUUGAAUACCAACAUUCAAGAGGCUUAUCGAAUGUAGUCCUCCCGAUUAACAAGUUUGAAUUGCCCCAUCCAGAGUAAGACAAUUGUUGUAGUUGGAAUGUGCAUUUCAACUACAACAAUUGUCUUACCUUUGAAUGAGGUAAAUUCAAACUGGCCAAACAACAUGACUCAAGCAUUUCGCCCCGCGUUCACGUUUUUCCUUUGAAAAUAAUGAAUUUUUGUUAGGCUUACUUUAGUUGAUGGUAUUCAAGUGCCAACGAAAUGAGGUUCAUUCCUUGACACUUAAUACUUUCAUCUAAACCAGCAUAACAAGAAUUUAAUCUUUUCAAAGGAAAAACAUGAACGCUGGGCGAAAUGCUUGAGUCAUGGCCGUUUGGCAAGUUUGAAUUACCCCAUUUCAGAGGUAAGACAAUUGUUGUAGUUGGAAUGCACCUUACCCUAACUAAUGACGAUCUUCUGGCAGAAUCAAGCUGUUGAUGAUAUCUUCAAUUGAUCUCAACAACGUUACCCACAUAUCGAUCCACUGGAACAUGCUGUGCUCCCAAAACAUGCUCGUCACGUUUUCGUCGUUCUUUAACUCCACCCAGAGUGAAUGAUACUCUCCCCUCGUCGAGCGUUGGACGUUUAUGUUGGAACAAAAUGUGUUUUACAAUAAACCCUAAUGAGUUUUGAUGAUAACAAGGUAUUAAAAAUUGUCAAUUGGUUAUUGCUAAUAUUUGUUCAAGUGUACAGGACCAUAGGCAAAGUUAAUCAAUUUCAAUAGGUCUUGGAAGAACAAUAGAGAGCAAAGGAACCUAAAGCAUCUGAAGAAAAUUGCGUCUGAAGCUAUGAAGUGUUUCUGAAGUUACAAGUGCCUCUGAAGUAAUGACGUCAUCAGAAGCAGAAGUUCAUCAGAAGCAAGAUUUCAUCAGAAGCUAUAUCAUCACCAGAAGCUACAGUUGAUCAGAAGAUUCAAUCUGGAAUCUCAAAAGAGUUGUUUCUUUAAGUUAACCUCGUCUAAGAGAGCGAAGGAUCAAAAGGGAAGUGCCAACGUUCAUUUGAAAAGCACUGGGUGCUUGUCCCUCAUUGAAGAGUUGACAAAGUACAAGUGUACAACCACUACCUCCACGACCCUGAGUGUGUCUUCGCUACAAGACAAGUUAACAGCUCUGCCUGCAGAAUUGUUCCUUCAAGAUAGGAAUGAAUUUGAAGUUGAUCCUUCAUAGGACUACACCCAAAUCAGGCAAAAGAUUACUGGUGGAUGAUCAAAGGAACUCAACGACUCUUUAGACGUGCUAAAGAUCUCAACGUCUCUCUACUUACCACUAUAUAAAGGAGUGAAGACUUGAAGAUCAAGAGAGACAUCAACACAAGUUAAAAGCGCCCAAACUCUGCCAAAUUUGAUUCUCAAAAGCACUUUGAAUUUCUGCACUGAUUUGAUAUAUCUUAGAAAUUCUUAAGUCUAGAGUCUUUUAUUGCAUUGUAUUGUGAACACCACUGAUUGUAUAUCAAGUGUUCAAGUCAAACAAUUUUCUGUGUAAUUCUGUUUGAUUAGAAGUCUCUUGCUUUAGUGCUUGAGCAUUGGAAGUCUCUUGCAUGCGUGCUUGAGCAUUUGGGAAGUCUCAUACUAGAUAGUAUUGAGCAGUUGUAAUCUGUGUGAUUAUUUCUUAGUGGAAAUCUCCUUGGAAGUGCAAGGGGGGACUGGACUACUUCCGAUUUGUGGAAGGAACCAGGAUAAUUGCUUGUGUCUCUCUUUCUUUUCUCUGCUCUGUUUCUAUUCCGCUGCAUAUAUAAUUCUGAACAUCACAUCAGAAGCACUCUCAACCAGCUUCUGAAGUGAUAUCAGAAGAAGAUUUUUUUACGAGAAAAAGAAAACACAAUUCAACCCCUCUUCUUGUGUUUUUCUCACCUUCAGUUUAUACCGAACGUAUUCCACCUUCCUUGCGUCUCUGGGGUUGACUCCUUGGUUGAAUUCAUUCAAUUGAUCCUUGAGACCUCUUAACAUUACAUCAAGGCACCGAACCUUCAACCUCUGAGGUUCUCCGCCGUUGAAUUCUGCAUGAACGUCGAUCCACCCGACCAUUGCUUCAAAUCUACACAUUAAGUAAUUUAACAUAAUCAAUGAAAAAACUCAUUCCAACAUUUUAUCAAACACUUGGAGUGCAAAUUAAACAUAAACCCUAAAAAUGAUAACUACAACAUAAACAUGCAAACAUCUAAAUAAUUAAGCAAUAUUACUCAUUUGCAUGUAACAUUGUAUCAUAUCUUGCAAAAAAAAUCAAAAUUUAAACAAACCCUAAAUCUAAAAAAAUUCUCUAAAACUCAAAACUACAACAUAAACAUGCAAACAUCUAAACAUUUAAGCAACACAAGUCAUUUACAUGCAAACAUUUUAUGAUUUCUUGCCAAAAACACCAAAAUUUAAACAAACUCUAAAUCUAAAAAAUUUCUAAUUUAAGAGAAAAAAAAUCUAAUAUAUAAAUAUAAAAGGUUAAUGGUGUUUGAUCAUGAAAACUUAUUUGUUACCGGACUGUUGUUUGAUUUGAGCUUGAAGGAAUUUUGAAUUUGGGUGAUUUGAGAGAGAUUUUUUGAGAUUUUAGAUAAGAAAUGAGAAAAUGAGGUGCUCUUCCUUGUUUAAGACAGCACGUAGCGUGACUUAACUAACACUGCGCUUGUUAACUAGCACAAGGGUAUUUUUAGCAUGGCUGCAAGGCGCGAGCAAAUUAUACAGAGUGAAGAGCAGAAUUCUUACUAUAUGUGUGACCUCCUAGCUAGCACAUACGGGUCCAAGAGUUUGCCUUGGCAAGAAGUUUGCAUACAGACAUAUAAAGAUAUUUUCUGCAGUUCUAUUAGGUAGCCACAACUAUAAACUAGCAGACCAAAAUAAAUUGGUGAAAUAUAGAACCAUGCUCACUCUACAAAUUGAUGAUGGGCUGCAUGUGAAUACUUUUCACAGAAAUAAAUAAUGGCCUUACUAAAUGGCACACAUUUACCAUACUAUAUAUGGAUAACAUACUGCUUUAUUUUUACUUUAUGUAAAGAGUAACAAUUAACACGUACAUGAUACAUAACUUUUUUUUUUUUUUUUUGAGCAACAUGAAACUCCUAAUACUAUUCAUAAAAAUUCGUUUGAAAUCUCGGAUUUUUAAUUUACUUGUUAUUUAUUUAUGGAAAAUGUGGGGACCUCAAUCUCAUCUUUACCAAAAAAAAAAAGUAAAUAGAGAAAAUAAGGGAACCACACAAUUGCAAUUGAAGAUAAAUACCUAGUAUCUAACUUACUAGUUAAAAAAUGGAGGAUCAAAAUCACAUUAUAUCGCGAUACUUGGACUACAAGUGUAAUUAAAUCCAUUUUUUAUGUAAUUAAAAUAAUUAAAUUUAAUGAUUAAACGAUUUUUUGGAUAAGCUUGGAGCUUUAUCGAUUAUGGAUUUCCUCAUCGAUCCUUCUCCUUCAUAUGAUAUUAUGAGUCUUCCCAAGAUCGACGCAGUAGAAACAUUUUUCUCUAAGGAUUAGUUUUUGGUUUUUCCUAUUUUUCUCCUUCUCUUUUUGUUGUUUUGAUCAACUUGGUAACAAAAAAAACUAACCAUUGUUGUUUGGAAUUUCAAUUCCACCAAGGAACCACUUUUAUGUUUAAACUGUUGAUUUGUGUUGCAUUUUGAGAGAUUUUAUUCCAAUUACACUGAACUAAACAUUUUACUAGUUUGAUACACAACGAGUAACAUGCAGAGGUAAAAAAAAAUAGUCCACCGCAAAAAAAAUCAGCAUUAUGAUUUUGGCUUAAUCGAAUAGUUAGUUCCCAUGUAUCACGAUUAUGGGAAUGGCUUAGAAGUUAGAAGGACUGACUUUGCAAAGUUUGGCUAUUUUAAGUUGACUAAAAUAUGGUUUUGGUCCCUGCAAAUAUGCUUCGUUUUGGUUUUAGUCCCCGUAAAAAAAAAUUGUUGUUUUUGGUCCCUGCAAAUAUGCCUCAUUUUGGUUUUGGUCCCUGGCUCCAAUUUUAUUUUGUGAUGAUUUGCACACGUGGCACAUGAUGACUGAACCCAUUUAUUAGAGAAAUAGUCCCUGCAAAAUCUUUUGAUUUUGAAAAAGGUCCCUGCAAAAUAUUUUGUUUUUGAAAAUAGUCUCUGCAGGGACUAUUUUCAAAAACAAGAUAUUUUUCAGGGACCAAAAACAACAAUUUUUUUUUACAGGGACGAAAACCAAAAUGAGACAUAUUUACAGGGACCAAAACUAUAUUUUAACUUUUAAAUUUGAGUUUGACAUAACUUGUUCAAAAACAAUUAUGAGUUUGACAUAAGCAUUUGAACACACCUUUUAGUUACACACACUUGAAAUACAUAAAGAGAAAAUCAUUAUAUAAAAUAUAUUUUAGUAAUAAUGAAAUGAUAUAUAUUUUUAUGGGUUAAUUAAGUUUUUGAUCCCUAUAAAUAUCUGCAGUUUUGUUUUUAGUCCCUAUAAAAAUAAAUCACACUUUUUAGUCCCUACAAAAUUUUCCGUUAGUGUUUUUAGUCCGUGUUAAAUUAAAAUUUGUUUAAUUAUACUUAAAAUUUUAAAUUUUUUAAUGAUUUUUAACAUACUUGUUUAAAACAUUAUAAAAGGUUCCGCCACAAUAAAUUAACUCAAUUUUAUUUUUAGAUUCAAAUUUUCGUUAGUUUUAUCUUGAAUUUUGGUGUUUUAAAAAAAUUAUAUUUAAUUCAUUACAUGUUAAACAAAUCUAAUUUUUUAUAAAAGAGAUUAUUAUAAUGCUCUUAACAUGUCUGUUAAAAAUCAUUUAAAAAUAUAAAAGUUUAAGUAUAAUUAAACAAAUUUCAAUUUAACAGGGACCAACACAUACUUUUAGUCCUUGUAAAAUUAAAAUUUGCUUAAUUGUGCUUAAACUUUUAAAUUUGUAACAUAUUUUUCACAUUCUUACUUAGAAUAUUAUACAAAGUUCCUCCGCAAAAAAGUAACUUAAAAUUUUAUUAUUAGAUCCAAAUUUUCAUUAAUAUAAUCUUGAAAAUUUGGCUUUUAAAAAAAUUCAUAUUUAAUUCAUUACAUGUUAAAAAACUAAAAAAAUUUACAAAAGAGUGUCUUACGAUGUUAUGAACAUGUAUGUAAAAAAUCUUUCAAAAAUUUAGAAGUUUAAGUAUAAUUAAACAAAUUUUAAUUUAACAAGGACUAAAAACACUAACAGAAAAUUUUGUAGGGACUAAAAAAUGUGAUUUAUUUUUAUAGGGACUAAAAACAAAACUGCAAAUAUUUAUAGGGACCAAAAACUUAAUUAACCCUAUUUAUAUUUGUGUGUGUCCAAAUAUUCGUGCCUAAAUAUUUUUCAAAAUAUGCAUGGUGAAAUUCGCUCAUUUGAAAGUGGGUACCAAAACCAUCAUACUGUAGUAUGUGUGUUUUCAACAGGUGCCUAUGUGUGUUCUAAGGUAGAUGGUAGAAGAUUGAAUUAUGAACAAUAUGGUGAGUUUUGUUUAAUUUUCAUUUGGUACUUUACAUUCUAAAUGUUUGAUUCAUUUGAUUUUAUUCUCAUUUGGUACACUUUUACAUUCUAAAUGUUUGAUAGUGAACAAAUUCAGAAGAAAAGAGAAUGAUCGAGAAGACGAAGUGGAAGCUCCUCCAGAGAAGACGAAGCAUCAUGAAGUAACAAUUCGUUUCAAUGUGACUGUUGCACCUGACCUGAGUAUACAGCUGUAGCCUCAUUGGAGUUGUUUUUAUGUACUAAAUACAUUGUAUGAAAUGCUCUUUUGUGUUUUUUAAUAGACCUGAAGUCAAAAGUCUAGUUCGUAAUAAAUAUCAAGUAGGUCACUUAGUUUAUUUGGUGAUUCUGAUUUAUGCCAAAACCAUCCUGGACGAAUUGAAACAUCACAUUCUGCUGGUAUUCUCACCUGUGUUCAGAUACCUCCACUGUGAAUUCUAAAAAGUAUUGUACUCUAUCAUCAAAUGAUAAAUUUGCUUUCAUUUUCAUAGCCGAAACACGAAGGUUACCAAAUUCUAGAAUAAUGAACUUGUAUAAAUUCUCUGAUUCUUCAGCAAGAUCAACUAAUGAACUUGCUUUUUGUUGUGCAUGCACCCUUCUUAAAAUCUUUUGGUACGUAGCAUCCUUGGUCCAAUGUUGCAGAAUGAAAUGAUCAGGGAUUUGCACAAUACCUUUUGAUUGAAAAAUCCCAUGAAUUCAUAUAGUGGCAGCCACAUUUAGCAACUUUUGGCCUAAAUCUACAUGGACAAUGAAGGUAUCUUUUGGGUUGUAGCCAUUAGACACUUCAUACUCAUAUCUCGGUCCUUCUCUUUGAAUCUUCUAAUUUUAGUGAAAUUGUUGAUCCGUGCAAGCUCUUCUUGAAAUUUGCAGAAAAUUUUUCUUUUAUAAACAAAUGAAGCAUGCUCUUCAAGUUUUGAUCCAGUAGUUAAAAUGCGCUUGGAUUCAUAUUCUUUCGACCUCCAAUCGGCUUUCAACUGCUUUCUCAAACUUUACCAUAAAUUAUUGCAAUGUUGUUGUUGCAUCCACAAUAGAAUUAAAAAAAAGCAUUAAUACUUUCGGUUCUUUUGAGUAUUAUUAAUGUGCUUCUAUUAUAAAUUGGUAUCCAUGAUUCUCUAAUCUUGUAUAACCCUUGAAGCCAUACAUUUUCCUCCAAUAUGUACUCAAUUAUCAAGCGGUUCCACUCUUCUUCAAAACUUUGGACACGAGAAUCUCGAAAGCAUUUUUUUUAGACCACCUUCGAAUAUAGACUUUUUGUGAUAUAUUUGUGCUAACUUCUCAGGAAACUUCUUUCUUAUGUGCCAAAAGCAAAGAUGAUGUUGAGUUUCUGGAAAUACUUUUGCCACAACAGCUCCAAUUGCUAAAUCUUGAUUAGUUAUUAUAGAUGUAGGUUUUUUUUUUCUUCCAUACAUUGCAUCAAGCCAAGUUUUAAAUAGCUAUAUGAAAGAACUAUGACUCAUCUUGUAAUAAAACAAAACCAAAUAAAAUUGAUCGACAAUGUGGUUGUGCUUUAUUACAAGAUGAGUCGGAGAGUUCUUUCUUUAGUUAAAAGAUGAUCUCCCCCGCGGAAUCAUGCAUCUUUUUCAUACAAGACAAUUUUCAACAAGGCUACUGUUAUCUUGAUUUUCUUCAUUCGUAGAUUCUGUGACUUUAUGGUGACCUUCAUUGCAACACACCAAUAUUGCUCUUUUUUGUUUAGUUGAACAAGCGUACGUGCUCCAAAACCUCUAUUCUUUUUUGCAAAUGAAUUAUAAAAUUCUUUAACCAUUUCAAUAGACUCGAAUUCCAUACCACUGCAGGACUGGAUAUUCAAUUCUUCUCCAUUAUCUAAAACAUCUUGUAGAGUAUUUUCAUUGCAUUUUCAUGCCUAACAUUUAUGGCUUCGGACACUUGUAAGGAGAAAGUAUUUGUAGCAGCAAUAGUCGUUCUUGUACUCUUGUUAGAUGAACUAGCAACAUUAGUGUUCAUUACUAGUUGUUGUAUAUGAAAUUUUUAUUUAUAAAAGAAAAAAAAGUUAAAAGAUGAAAAGAAAAGUACUUUUUAGUUUCUGUCAGCAGCAUCGAACAACUAUUUUAAUUAACAUAGUGCACAAUCAAAAAUUAUUUUAAAAUUUUGAUAUAUUAAAAAACUGUUAUAGUUAUUUAUUUGUAAGACAUUUACGGACCAAAAUGAAUCGACAUAUUUUAAGUCCUACUCCUUCUGUCCUAAAGAUUGUAACAAUUCUUGUUGUUAAGCGGUCAAUACCUCCUCUCCUCUCACCUAACCUCACCUGUCCCCGAAACAAGUAAAGAUACGUUGGAAAUAUUUUUUACCAUACCUUUUCCUUCUCAUUGAAUCACUCCAUUCAUGGUUAAGAAUUCAAACACAACUUUUGAAAGUCUCUCUUGUCAGAGAUUUCGAUUUUCUCAUUAGUUGUUAUUUUCCCCAUCUAUUUAUUCAUAUCAUAGACCUAGCUUCUUGAGCAUAAGCCUCGAAACUGAGCUGAGCACCAUUAUUGCCAUAGUAAUGGAAGCUACUUCCAAGCCAAACCAUGUCUCUAUCUUCAAUGAAUGCACCAACUUCACUCUCUUAUCAAACUAUCUCGUUUCACACUUCUCACAUUUCCUAUGGCUUUCUAGCAUAACACUAGCAACAUUUGUUGAAGCAUUCUUAUUUCUCCAAAACUAUGAACCAAUGUUCCAUGUUUUUCUCCUAUUGUUUCUUCUACUUUCUUUCCUUCUAAAACACUUCCUCUCAAAACCCUCACCUGUUUACCUCAUUGAUUUCUCAUGUCUUAAACCACCAAACUAUUGUAGGGUACCUUUCUCAACAUUCCUUGAAAAUGCUUCAUUGUUUGAAUGUUUUGACAAUGAAAGCAUGGCUUUCAUGGAAAAAGUACUUCACUCUUCAGGUCAAAGUGAAGAAACUUGUCUCCCUCCUUCCUUGCACUACAUUCCACCAAAAACCCAUCAUUCUGAAUCCAUCAAAGAACUUCACAUGCUUCUUUUCCCUAUCAUUGAUGAUCUUUUUGCAAAAACAAAGCUUUCACCUUUUGAUAUAGACAUACUUAUCUUAAACUGUAGUGGCUUUUGUUCUUCACCUUCUUUAACUUCCAUUGUAGUUAACAAAUAUGCUAUGAGAAGUGACAUUAAAAGUUAUAAUGUCUCUGGUAUGGGGUGUAGUGCUAGUGCUAUUUGUAUUGAUUUAGCUCAGAAUCUUCUCAAAGUUCAUAAAAAAUCUAAUGUUAUUGUCUUAAGCACAGAGAUUUUGUCCCACGGUUGGUAUCCAGGUAAGGAAAAAUCAAAGUUGCUUAUUAACUGUCUCUUUAGAAUGGGAAGUGCAGCAAUUCUUCUUUCAAACAAAAAAGAAGCAAGUAAAAAUGCAAAAUAUUUGUUACUUAGGACACUUAGAACACAAAGAGCUUUUGAUGAUAAAGCUUAUUUAUCCUGUAUAAGGGAAGAAGAUUCAGAUGGAAAACUUGGGGUGACACUCAAGAGGGAUGUGCUUCAUGUAGCUGGUGAAACACUUCGUUCAAAUAUUUCAAUCAUUGGUUCUGAAAUAUUGCCAGUUUCAGAGAAAUUUUGGUAUUUAGUUUCUGUGAUGAAAAAGAGGUUUGUGUUUAUGAAAUGUGAAGGGAUUUAUGUGCCUGAUUUUAAGACUGUUAUACAACAUUUUUGUUUGCCAUGUUCAGGGAGGGGUGUGAUAAGAGAAGUGGGAAAAGGGUUGAAGCUUGGUGAGAAAGAGAUUGAACCUGCUUUGAUGACACUUCAUAGGUUUGGAAAUCAAUCUUCUUCAUCAUUGUGGUAUGAACUUGCUUACUUGGAAGCCAAGGAAAAAGUGAAGAAAGGUGAUAAUGUUUGGCAAGUUGGAAUGGGAAGUGGGACCAAGUGUUGCAGUGUUGUUUUGAAGUGUAAUAGACCAAUACUUGGUGAGUCUCAUAAGGGACCAUGGGGUGAUUGCAUUCAUCAAUACCCAAUAUUUGCUAGCUAGUAUAUGAAUUGCUAAUUCUAAGUGAUUAUGAAGCUCUUAAAGGUUGCUUUUUUUAGAGUUUAAUUUUGAUGCACCUCAAGUGUAAAAAGUCUGACAUUAUCAUUAAACCACAACUAUUCAUAUGUCUGAUUUUAAAAAUAGUUAUGAUUAAAGUCAAAUAGUUUUUAUGUUAAACAAUUAUGAUUGGUUGACGUUGUAAAUAAAAUUUUUACACUAUAACCUAGUAUAAAACAUCUUCAAUCAUUGAAAAUCCUUAUGCAUACAUACAACAGGAGAGAGGAAAGGGGUGUUAUGGAUUUAUACUAACAUACACACCCAUGUCUCAAUAAGGCUAACUGUUGCAUUACAACAUAGGGAUAUUGGUUAAUUUGUUAUAUGAUUGCCGCCAGAUUUGAACCGGGAAUCUCAAGGCUGUAGCAUCAACUUUCAACCAAGAAAGUUCUCGGGAAAUAGGGUGGUUAAUUUGUUAGGUGGUAGACAAAUUGAAUUGCGAUCUCCAAUGUCCUAGUUGAGUAUACAUAAUUUACUAUAGAGAAAUACUUUUGGUCACAACCUCAAAUAAACAAUAUUUAGACACACAUAAAAUUGCACUAGAUCAUUUAAUUUAUUGUAAAAUUAUAUCAUUUAAUUCUUUUUACUUUUUUGAGUACGUGUCUAAACAUGGCUAUGCAUUUAUAAUUUGUAGGUUUUAGUUUUGCAUCAUUAAUUGUUUGUUGCUAGGAAGUGAGACCAUUAAAUUGGUUAGUCAAUUUUACCCUAUCCCUUUCUACCCUAUCUCUUGGGGAUCAUGAUAUAGACUGAUCAGAAACAUUUAUUUACUCUGCAGGGGACAUGACUAAUCGGCAUCACAACCGAAAAUUAUCCCCAUUUUGGUACCUUAAAUACAGUAAUGCACCCAAGCCAAUAUUGUUUGCUAGCAGGGAUAUUUAGUGGACUGAAUCUGAGCCAGAGAUGUGUACUAGGCUGUUAGUUCUGGAUUGGGCUUGAAUUCAAAGACCUUCAAAGUGAUAAGCCAAAAAGCAUUGAUAAUUGUUCUUUGAAUUCUGCUCUUUCACCCAACACAAAACACUCCACCCUGCAGUGUUGUCAAAAAUGCCCCUGCACUAGUUAACCAACGCAAGUGUAAAUCUAUGCGUUAGUUACUAACGCUGCGUUACUUAAGUAACGCAUGUGUAAAGCGCUGCGUGACUUGCGUGAGUUAACUCACGCUGGUAGCAAUAUCAAGAUUUGUCUUUUUCACUUUUUGUUAAGCUGCACUCAAUUUAUUUUUUUAAUUCAAUUCCAAUUGUUAUCAUUUUAUGUUGCUGCAAGUUAAUACUCAAUCCCAUUUGAUUUCCUUUUUGCUGCACCUGCCAUUCCAUACCUAUUGUUGCGUAAUUAAAUUCUAAAUAAGCUGUUGUUGUUCCAUAUUAAAUUGUUGAUACGGUCAACAAUGUUGUUUGCCUUUCAAUUGCUUGUAAUUGAUGUGAUGCGCUGCUGUCCUGUGUAAAUUCCCAUCAUUACUGCACUGUUGUUCUAUUGCAAGAGGAAAGCGCUGAAAAAAUGACGGGCAUAUUGAUAUUGCUACUAGCGUGAGUUAACUCACGCAUGUGUUAUACCUUCCCUGAGUUAACUCAUGUUGUGUGACUUAAGUCACGUAUGAGCAUUUUGUGAAUGAUAUGGGCUCAAGUUAUGAUCCAAGCCCAAGAAUGGAAUUGACCCAAAUGAUGAUUCAAGCCCAAUAUUGAUUGGUAAAGCCACUUUUGUAGCAAGACACAUGUCCAUGGUGCAUGAAAGACAAGUUGCACUUCUCAUGUAAUGCAUGGUGGCAAAGUGGAUGGUUGCAUGCAUUGACAUGUUGUAAGAUGCAUGAGAUGCAAGUGACAAGUUGCACUCUUGGAGUUUGCAUGGAAGACAAGUGGCUUGUUGCAUGUAAGGAACUAAGGCUUACCUCUCCUAUAAAUAGCAAGUUCAUUUGCACAAUCCCAUCACAUCUCAUCUCAUCCAAUCAAGUAGUAACACAACAACAAGAAUUAGAGCUUGUUGAGAGUGAGAGGAAAAAUAUAGAGAGGAAAUAUAGUUUCUCCUGUGAGGUUUCUCCUAGUGUUAGUAUUCUCCUAUUUCAAGAGAGAGGGUAAUUUGUCUCUCCUUCUAUUUAGAGAGAAGUCUUGUAAUUGUCUUCCACUUAGUGAAAGUUCUCUACUCUUGUCCCGUGGUUUUUUCCCCUUAUUUGUUGAGGGGUUUCCACGUAAAAUAUUGUGUUCAGUUCCUCUUUUCUCGUCUCUUAUUUUAGCUGCAUGAUAAUAUUUUGUUACUCUGGUUCCUAACACAUUUUGGGCAAGGCUGCAGGAUGGGAGUGAAAUGUGCUGGGUGAAGAGCAAAAUUCUUGUUCUUUAACCAUCUGGAAAUUGCUCACAUUGUUGAAACUAUCCAGUUAGAGUCACAAUUUGAUCGAAUUUUACCUACAGAAAUAACCGAUCAAAAACGAAUUUGAUGUGCCUAAAGAGCAACUGUCCAAAGCUUUUAUCAUGGAAAAUUGCUUUUCUGACAUAAGAAACUUCCUAUUGACACAAGUAAAUGACGCUUUUACCCCCAUCGGCAGUUAACAACAACUGGCUCCAGUGGCAGUUAACCGCCGUUCACGCCAGUUAACAGAACCAGCGCAGUCAGCACUGGUUUUUUUCCAGGAAAUUUGUCUUGUUUUACCUAUAAUUUCAAACGGCAAUUCCGGAGGAAAUCAAACCGAAACAACAACAUCUAGCAAUCAUAAACAUCAACAUUUCAUGGUUUAUAAAUUAUUAAGUAACAUUACACAAAACUGAUAAUGCGUUAACGUUUCACAAUUGUUUGAAAUUCAUCAAAUUUUUCACAUUAUGCAACAAUAUCAAGUUAAAGUAAUAUUAUGAACCAGGUUAUGUCGGGAAAUUAAAACGUACGUACAAAAUAAUAUUUAACAGAUAAAAUUAAAACGCAAGAAAUAAUAUAAAAAGUAUGUUGAAAAAUGUCAUACAAAUACCAAAAUGUACGGAACAUGUCAUAAUUAUACAUCACAGUCAAAAAUUACAUAAAAAAAGUCUAAUCAUAAUCAAACGUGCUGCCUAGAAUGCCUCGGCCCCCUACGUCGCCUGACAAUCUGAUACAUAAGGGGAGGGCGACUAGUACCGGUUAUCCGCAUCACCUCCAGGACAAUCUCCUCUUUAGUCAUCUCGGCUUGCCUGGCCACAAUAUCAUCAACUAUAUGCACCACAUCCCGGAUGAUCGUGAGUGUGUCAGACAUCUCCCUGACAUGCUCAUCCUCUAUGAUAUGUUCCACGUUCGCAGGCCUGGGAGGAGAUUCUUCAUCAGGUGGGAGAAUACGAGGGUGAGAGACUUUGGCAUACCAAGCCAUGUAGCCAGGCGCAUGAUGCCAUGGUUUCUCACACACAUCUCCCCAAGCAGUGAAGAACCACGCCUGAGUGUCUUGCAGCACGGUGGUCAGCAAAUGUGUAGGCAUCUGAGCGACAUCUGACGGAUGUCUGGGAACAUCCUGUACAUAGAAAAGCUACCUCUUUUCCCGCUCAGGUAAAUGACGGUACAUCCUCUUCUUCCCGCACAUCAGUCAUCCCGAGUAAGUGACAAUAAGCUUAAAAUGGUGUAUUUCUCUAUGAUCAGUAUAAGUAGAAAACCUGAAAUCAUCCACCUCUAAGCGAUCAAGCCGUAAGUGGUAAUGGUGCACAUCUUUAUGCCCUUUGCAUGUAAACCAUCUUCCAGCACAUGGUCUCUCCGACGUCCACUCGUUUUUUUUCUUCCUUGGGUAUGGACCUGGCAAAUGCUCCAAAAUUCAUCCCUGCAACAAAUAAAUAAAAUACAUUAUAAAAGCUUCACAGAAAAAUUUAAAUAUAAUACUAAAUAAAUGCAGUCUAACUUAGAAAAAAAUAAUCUAACAUGAUAAUAAAAAUUAUAAAAUAAAUUCAUACAAAAAUGAAGUGAAGAUAAAUAUUAAAUUAUUACCAUAAAAAGAAUCGUACUCCCAGCCAUCGUUCUGUUAUUCAGAAUAACAGAAUCAUCCAGAUAAUCGUACAGGUAAGCUAAGGCCAUCCCUCCCCAUGACCACUUCCCAAUCGCCUGCAAGUCAGCCAUACAAUCAAGAUAUAUCAAGUCGAUGUGUCUGUUCGAUUUGUUAGUUAACAGCGCACAACCGACAAGAUAUAGAAGGAAACUCCUCACACACUACACCCUCUUCCUGCCUCUCUCCUGCAGCUUCUCCCUUGUCUGUGGCUCCUCCAGCCGUCUAGCCUCUGUCAGGUGGUGUUCAUAAACCCGCUUCAGUGUGGGAUAACUGAUAUGACCAGCAGACUCACUCCUAACCUCAACCCUAACAUCAACUUCUGACAUGCCCAACAACCUGAUCAUCAAAUCAAUCGCACAGUCCUGAUUCAUUGCCUCGUCGUGGUCUAGUAUGCGGCCGUGAAUAGGAAUGUGUAGGAGAUUAUGCAUAUCAUCCAAAGGGAUCGUCAUCUCCCCCACAAGUAGAUGAAAACUACUUGUCUCCGUGUGCCACCUCUCGCACAUAGCACAUAUCAUGGCAUGGGUCACAGUAGAAUACCCCGUGUAUAUCAAAUCAUGUAGGUCAAACCCCUCCACAGGCUCCCAAAACCACCUCAAACCCGCCUCCGGCUUACCAAGCUCUUUCAUCUUUUUCCCUGCAUUUAUACCUGCAUUAAAUAAUUAAAACAUUUACGCCACAUUCUUUUAAAUAAUUAAAACACUUAUGCUACAUAAUGUAAAAUAAUUAAAACACUUACGCUACAUAAUAUUAAAAUUAAAACACUUAUGUAACGUCCUAUUUGAAUUAUUUGAUUUAUUUGAUUGUUUUAAUAGGUUUAGAAUAUAUUUAUAUGAUUAUGUGAUUUAUUAAGUGGCUUAUUUUAUUAUUUAAUAGAAUAGGAUUUGAAAAUAAAAUAAGAUUAAGUUGUGGGGGCUGUUUGGAAAUUAGAUUAGUGAUAUUUUGUUAUGUUAUAUGUUGAUAUUAUUUAUUAGUGAAAUAUAUAUGUUAAUUGUUGUAGAAAUAUAUAUGAUUUGUUGUAGAAAUAUAUGUUGUUUGUUGUGGAAAUAUAUUUCUUAUUUGGUGUAGAAAUAUAUAUGUUAUAGAAAUAUAUUUGUUAUUCGUUAUAGUAAUAUUUUAUAUUAUAUAUAUAUAUAUAUAUAUAUAUAUAUAUAUAUAUAUAUAUAUAUAUUGUCAUCUCGAUUUUAGGGUGUCAAGCCAUUGAUUGGACUUGAACCUUUCAAUCCUCGAUGUUUUCUAUUUUUUUGGGGAAGGGUAAAUGGAGAGAGACCCUUAAAAAGUUUUAGGUUCGGGGGUCGUUUUCGCUACGGGAAGGUGUUAGGCACCCGGAACGAUUAUGGUAUUCUAUAAGAACCGUUCUCCUAAGCUUAUUUCUACGCUUUAUUUUUAUUGCCUACUUAUUGAAAGAAGUUGUAUUUGAGUGAAGAAUGGGGGUGAGAAGAAGUAGAAUUUGAUUUUAUUUCGGCUUGGAGGGGUUAAAGUCCCUUGCCUACGUACCGUUUUACGGGAUCAAAACCGGCGUAGUUCUUGCUAAAAAGACUUGUUAUUUUUUUGUUUUAAUUGUUUGAUUUUAAAUUUUGAAAAUGAUUUUGAAGAAGGGGAUUGAGAGGCUUCAUGAGCAUUAGAGUAUGAAAAAGUGGGGGUUUAUUUAGUGAUUUUGCGAAAAAGUCUAAAUGAUUAGAUUUAUUUGAGAAUUUUAUUAAGAAAAUAAAAGGUGAAAAAUUGUUGGAGUUUUGACUCCAUUUUUAUGAAAAAUAUUUGAAGCGAAUUUGUUUGCAUAUUUUUGGAAAAAAUUGGAUUUUCUCUAAGUGUUUAAGCCUAAGCAUUCAUCUAACCAUGCAAUCCUAGGCAUACAUCUAGGGUGAGUGUGUGCGUGCCGGUGCGUCAUAGUGUCCGUAGUCCAUAUUACAAAAAUUGCCUAAAUACAUUCUAUGGCCUCUUUGCCAAGCUACAAACCAAUGAUAACAAAUUACAUCACCGAAUGAAUUAAAACUUGCAAAAAUAAAUGCUAAGCUAAAGAAAGAGGAGGAGGUAGUGAAAUGCUAUGAGUGGAGUCACAUAAGGAACAAAAUGUUAGUGAAACGAGGAAAAAUAUAAUGGGAAUGAUGAAAAAAGCACCAAAUGAAUAUGCAAUAAAAAGGGGUAAAAACAUGAGAAUUUAUCAAGCACAAUGUGUAACAAAUGGCCUAUAAUGCAAGAACAAGUAUAAACCAAAUGAAAACAGUGGCACAAUCAUUGGAUUAUCAUCACAUCUAUCAUGAAAAUGCAUUCUAAUUAGCCAUGCUAUGCACCAAAAUUCUUAGGACAAGAAUCAACCUAAAAAUCAUGAAAAAGCUAACUAGAGAAGUAAAUUGAACAAGAGACCUAUGCACAUAUUUUUACCAGUUAUUUGCAAGCAAAAUAUCAUUAAAAAUCAUCAAGAAAGUGGUAAAAAACAUGUAGUAAUUUUUGGAAUUUUUGUAAAAAAAAGUGAGCAAGAAACAGGUUCAGAUAGCAAGAAAAGGAGCAGAAACGCACAAGAAACCUAGGCCCAACCCAAAGCCCAACACACAAAACUCAGAUUGCACAGGAGACGUUGGAUUGAUCCAGGGUAGGAAACCCUAGAUCCAACGGCCAGGAAUGAAGGAGGUUGGACCGGUCCUGAACCGGUCUGGUUCACUGGCUUUAUAAAGGGGUGGAGCACCGGUUUUUUCACUUUACACUCUUCUUUCUCUCUCUAACUCUCUCCUAGUGAGAGACGCUCUCGCCUCUCUCCUCUUCCCUCUCGCCGGAUUCUGGAAAAAAGUGGAAGAUCUUCAUCUUCUCCGGUGAGGCUUGUUCCUCCGGCGUGGUGGCCGGCCGCCCAAGGGUGGCGGCGCCGCCGCCGGAGUUGAACGAACUUCUCCGUUUUCAAAAAAUCUUAUGUUUUCAGAUAUCCUUUUUUAUCCUAAACACGAAUAUGGCACUGGAUUUUACAUGCAAGGCGUGAAUCAACGUAGAUCUACGGUUUUGUGUUACGGUUUUGAGAAAUUUUCCUUGAUUCUUUUUAGUGUUUUGUUGAAUGAAAGCUUUGGAACUUUUCAGAUCUGUAACUGAUUCGUGUUUAUUGAUAUUUUUGAGAAAGAGAGGCGAGUUUUACGUGUUUUACCUGCGGUUUCGAACGGAGAUUUCGAACUGGAAUCUUUGAGAAACUUGAAUUCUGGUGCUGCUUGUUGAUUUUUGUUCUUGAACCGGUGUUUUCCUACUGGUUUGCUUUCUUUAUCUUCUUCACCGGUUUGAAUCUCUGAUUCUUUCCCUCUUCUUCUUUGCUUUGAUCUCUGUGAUCGGUGCUUGAGUCCGCCGUCAACAAUGGCGGAUUCGCGCCUAGAAUUGCAGAAGUAAAGGUUCAAUGAUGAUGAUUACGCGCGAAUCUCUGAGAACCGUGAGAAAAUCCAAGAAAAAAAACGGUUGAAUUUGGAUGAGUUCUGGCGAAUUUGUGAACUAGGGUUCGUGAUUUUUUUUCUGUGUUCUUGCUGAUUUCUCUGUGAUUUUGGUUUUGAUCUAACUGACAAGAGAGAGAAAGAUUGAUUCUGUUUUUGGUGAAGUGGCGUGUGGUUAAUGGAUCUGUGUGGCACUGUACACCUUUUAUAGCUGACAUGUGUGAUCUUGGACCAAUAGAAUUGUGACAUCUGGACUCUAAUUGAAAAAAAAACGCAAGUUUGACACUUUGAGCCCUUUUCUGCAAAAUUGAAAAAAUUAAAGGACUAAAAAUGCAAAUAAAAGAAAUCUGGACUAAGAUGCAAUUUUGGACCUCUUCGAGGACCAAAAUGCAAAAAGGUAAAAAAAAAAAAAAAAAAAAAAAAUUGAAUUAAAAUUUGUAACCUGACAAAACGUAAAGUGAAACCCAAAAUAAAAUCAACAAAAAGGACUAAAACGAACCAAAGGCUGACAUGAGGUAUUUCAAAAUACCUCCCUGCCAAAAUUUGGACAGGAAAAGACCAAAAUGCCCCUAUGGACCAAAAUGACCUAAACUGACUCAGAUGCAAUUUGAAAUGAUAUUUUUUUUAAAACAGAGAUUUUGACAAUGACUUUAUAAAACAAUUUGAAAAGACUCAGAGACAGUCACAAGGACCAAAAUAGGUUCCCCUGCAGAAAAUGACCAAAAUAUCCUUUUGUAUGAUUCUCUCUGAGACAGAGACAGUAAAAAGUGCAGAUGAAACAGAAUGAACAUUCAGAGUAAAACAACAAUAAUUUGACAUUUAUCAGUAGUAAAAAAGUUUGAACGAGUAUUUUUAGGUCCAAAAUCAGGGUAUAACAUAUAUAUAUAUAUAUAUUAGAAUAGAAUAUUGAGACUUGGAGGGUAGAUUUGGAAAUAAGAGAAAAUAAGUAGGUUAAGGAUUUAUAUAAAAAGGGAGAGUUAGAAUUAGAAAAGGAGGAUUUCGUGAAAACUGCAUUUUGAAGAAAAAGGGAGAAAACAAGAGAAGAGGAGAACCAAGAGGGAGAGAGACUGUCGAUCAUCAAUACUAAGGUAAGGGUGGGACUAACUUUCUCUAAUUCUAAGUAAUUUAAUUCUGAAAACUGGAUUUAACAUGAUUUAGGUGGUAAUUUUGAUGAUUAGAGAAAUUAUGUUUUGGUUUGGAAUUGAUUGUUAAAGAGUAGGUAAUCCAAUGAAUUAACAUAAGAAUUGAAGUUCAGGCUGUAGAAUAAACAUAGGUUGAGUUUCCUAUCAAAUUUGGGAUUUGGGUUGAUGAAAUUGGGGCUUUUGGAGUGAAAACUGGUAUGUUCCCGUAGAUUUGUCCGUCGCAACUCGCCUCGCGAGCUACACUUUGACAGCAUCCCCUAUUUUGCGUUCUUGCGUCUUUUUCACAUGUUUCUGUUUUGAAUUGGCCUUUGGUGUAAACAUGAAAGUUGUAGAUAAUUGUGUUAGCUUUCCGGUGACUUUGGUUUGACUUGAAAAUGAUUUUUGGUGUUUGAGAUAUGAUGAAAAUACUUCAAGGAGGUCUUAAUGAAAUCUUAUGAAAAUUCAGCAUAACCAUUUCUAAGUUAAUCCAAAACUUAUGGGAUAAUUUCAAACCUCAAAACUAGAAGUACUAUGAGUUCAAUUAAGGUGUUUAAGAGUAUUUAACCUAUAUUGUGAGUUGGUCCUUGGGGUAGAAACGAAGUUGUUUAUAAUAUUAAUGUUCUUCAGAGAGUCUGAAAUUAUGAUGAUUAAUGUUGUUGGUUAUGUGAAAUAAUUAUAUGCCUUAUGUGGAAAAUGUAUGAUGUUUAAGUUGUUGAGGCUUUUCAUUAAUAUUGUUAUGUUGUGAAUUGCUUGUGUUGUUUCUGUUGCUGUUGCAUAUUGAUCAAGUUGCAGGUGUUGGUCUAAGUUGUCUUUCCAAAGUAUUGGAGUCUUAAGUUGUUAAGUUGUUGAAGUCGUAGUUGAAGCUGUUGUUAGUGACUGUUUAUGUUCUGAUGUUUUAUAAGAGGUGGUGUACUCUUACGUUGUUGUUAUAUAAGAGGUGGUGUACUCUUACGUCGUUGUUUUAUAAGAGGUGGUGUAACUCUGAUGUCGUUGUUUCAUAAGAGGUGGUGUACUCUCACGUAGUUGUAUUGACAGGUUGACGUUGUCGUCGUCGAAUCGUUGAAGUUGUUGGUGAUAACAAACCAUGGAAUGUUAAUGAUUAUGUUGUAUUGCUUAUAUUAUUAUGAGAUGAUGAUUAUGUUGUGUUGUUUAUAUUGAAUGAGAUGAUGAUUAUGUUGUGUUGUUUAUGUUAUUAUGAGAUGAUGAUUAUGUUGUGUCGUUUAUGUUAUAAGAUGAUGUUUAUGAUGUGAUGAUUUGUGAUGUUAUAUGACGAUGGUUAUGAUUUGAUUAUUAUGUGCUAAAUGAUGAUGUAUAUAAUGAGAUGAAUAUGAAGUUAAUAAUGAUUAGAAGUUGAUUGAGUUAUUAAUGAAAUAUUAUAAGAAGAUUUAAUGUUAUUAAUUGAUGAAGUUUAAGUUGUUAAAUGCUUUUGAUGAAUUAUAUGCUUAUUAUUAUUGAAUGUGAAAUCUCACCCCUUCUGCUUGGAAAUGUUGCUCUUCGUAUGAGUAACUUGCAGGUGAUCGAGAAUAAGUUGUUGUUAGAUUGCUGUCGUAAGUGUACUAUCUUCCACGUGUGUCUUUAGGUGCUCUGAUACGUAACGGGAUGAGAACUUUGCUUCAUGUUUUUCUAUUCCUUACGUAUUGCUUAAUGAAUUUUCAUAAAUAAGAUGUUGAUUGGAUUUGUAUGAGAUAUUAAUGAUGAGGCCUUCGUGCCAAAGAAUAAGACUGUUUUAGAUGUUUGAAUAAAUUCCACUGCGAAAUAUUAAUUAUUAUGUUGUUGAAUUUUGAAGGAUAAUUAGUUAAUUAUUCCAUUUAUGAUUUUAGGAAAAGAAGUGUAGCAUUCCGUUUACGUGAAUAACUCUGAUUAUUUUAUGAAAUUUUUAUGUUGGGAAAACGGGGUGUUACAACUUACGCUACAUUCUUUUAAAUAAUUAAAACACUUACGCUACAUUCUUUUAAAUAAUUAAAACAUUUACGCUACAUUAUUUUAAAUAAUCACUUUAAAGCAUUUAAAGAAUUUUAAAUAAUUUAAACACUUACAUUAUGAUGUUCACCUAAAGAGGGUUCGCCACGUGCCUCGCAUAGUCGGACAACAGUGACGUGGUCUCAGGUCCUCCAGAAAAAGGAGGCCCUCCAACAGGAUAUGUCGGUAUCGGCGGAACACGACGUUGUCGUCGCUGAGUCUGAGGCUCAGGCUCACCCUCAGGAAUAACAUUCUCUGCCUCAAGAUAAUCCGCCACAACAUCCUCUGGCACCUCCUCAUCACCUGCCACCUCCUCAUCCUCUGCCUCGUCCUGCGGCUGAUAAAACAUCUUAUCCUCCUACAUCCGAUCAUAUCCCUGAAAUCCCUCUGUAUACUCAUACGUCUGUGUCGGAUCAACCACCUGGGAGGAGUAAUCCAUUUGUGAUGUGAACCCGACCCAUCUCCUCCGCCUAUCCUCGAGUUCCUACAUCUCCGGGUAUUUGGAACAUACGGGUGUUCAACCUCCAUCUCCUUUCGAACGCUAUUUGUCAUAACAGGUUUACCUUUGCGCACCCUACCCUCUCUAAUAUGCCGCUCCCGUGCAUCCUCCUGCCCAGCCAUAUCUGUAUAAAAACAAAUUAAAAGAGGGCAUAAAAAUCCAAACAUUAUGUAACAUGUAACAUUAUAUCAUAAAAAUUAUGCAAACAUUAUAUCAUAAAAAUCCAAGCCAUUGAACCUAAGAUAUUGAACCUAAGACAAGUAACAUGUAACAUAUCACAAAUUUUACUUAGGCAUUCAUAAAAAUUCAAACUUAGAAUCAUUCAACUUGGGCAUUUCAUCAAAAAAAAUUAUGUAUCGUAUAACAUUAUGUCAUUCUUAAACUUGCCAAAAAAUGUCAAAAUCCAACCUUUUAAUAAUUAUAACAUAUAUACAUUAUAAGAUUUAACAUAUUUGAAAAAAAAAUCACAAAAAAAGCAAGAUUAUUUCACUUAGGCAUUUCAUCAAACAUCUAAAGUGCAUUUCAAAAUACUAGCACAAUUAGUGUUAAUUCAACAUCAAAUUCAACUACAUUGUACCUAAACCUACUCUAAACAACAAUGCCAGCCUAAACAAUCAAUUACAACAUCUAAUUCUAUCAUAAUUUGCAAUUUUUAAAUCUAACCUAAACCCUAAACAUUUUGCUAAAAUUAUGAAAAUAACACCCUAAACAACCUACAUUGCAUGUAAAUAGGAAGAAAGGUACUUACUUGUGAUUUACUUGAGGCAAAUUGGAUGAUUUUCGUGCAAAUGAAGGUUUUGGUGAAUUUUGAUUAAAAUUGAAAAUGUUUGCAUGUGUUUCUGUAAACCAGAAACUGCAAAACUGCAGUUUCUGCGUUCUUAACUUACAGAAUGCAACGACAGUUUACAACCGUUAGGGUCAGCGGUAGUUAACUGUCGACGAUUUUACCAACUGUAGUUAACGAUUGUUGGGGACUUUAUAGUAAAUUACUUGUGUCAAUAGGAAAUAUUCCAUGUCAAAAAAGCAAUUUCUUUAUCAUGUCUGAUUUGGGCCUAGAGGACUUCCCAAGAUGAAGAAUAAUGUUGAUAGGAUUUUUUGUAUUUAGUUUUAUUUUUUUUAGAGAGUUUCUUUUUACACCUUUUGAUUAUUAAAAACAGCUUCGUCCUUAGACAUAAGAAAAUACAUUUUUUUUUUUAAUUUACUCAUUCAGGGCACGAGAAAAAAUGAUACAUCCGUUCGAAUUGAUAAAUCUAAUAAGAAUGCAAUGAAGGUUAACUCCCUCAAAAAAAAAGAAAAACAAUGAAGGUUAACAUAGCUCUCUAUCUGUUAUGAAUUAAGUUGGUAGAUGUCCAUUCUUGAUCUUCCAUAUUCUUAUAACUUUUCUAUAUUGUAUCAAUUUUAUUGGAUGUCUUCGAAGGGACACAUUCUUAUAACUUUUACUAGUGAAUGAAUUCUUAGUAGUCUUUAAUUACAUACAUGCGAUCAUUCACUUGCUUAUUUGUAUUCUAUAAAUAAGAUUUAUAUUUUAGUGUAAAAAUAUACUUGUGAAUAGAAUAAUACCAAAACUCUCACCUUCUCCAUCUUUGAUCUUGUUCUUUAUGUCUCAUUUUAUAACACCGUUAUUGUUCCUUAAAAAAAAACACCAUUAUAGUGCAAUUUUUUGUCAUUUUCAUCUUUAAUUGGUUUAGUAUUGUUUAGGGUAGUUAGAAGUUAAUUUUUAUUUAUUAGAAGUUGCAUAUAUUAGAAGUUAAUUUUUAUUUAUUAGAAGUUGCAUAUAUUAGUUACCUUCUCGGAUUGCCAAACUAGAGAUGGCAAUUUUGCUUUGUUUGUCUUUAUGAUAUUUAUAAUAUUUGUUGAAUUUAGGUAGUAUUCUUAUUGUUUCUUUGUUUUUUUUACAAGAUGAUUUUUUUUUAGUCAUUAUUAACAUUGACAUAUGCUUAUACCCGAUUGUAUUUCUUUUACCACUAUAUUAUAGUCUAAGCCUAAGAUUUUGUUUGCGAGUUUUGAGGGGAGGGGAAGGAAAAGUUUAAGAGGGGAAGGGAAGGAAGGGAAAGGAGAAAGUAAGGAAAGCCUUCCCCUUGUUUGGGAGUUAAAAAAACCAACGAGAAAAGGAGAUGGAGGGCUUAUGUGAUAAUUUUACUAUUUUACCAUUUUUCUCUUAAAAUCAAUGCAUUAUGUUAUACUUUGUAAUUUAUCUUGUAAAUUAUAAUUGGAAUUUUGAAUUAGUAUGAGGACAAAAUUGUCAAUUUGUAUGUUUAACCUCCAAAAUCCCCCAAUUUAAGGGAACUUUAAAAUUGGACAAAUGGGAUCGACUUACAAGCAUUAUCAUACUUUAAGAACGCGGUUGACAUAGGAGCGGGUCUUUAUUUGUAGUUAAGCUUUAUCAUACUUAUACACUUCUACCCUUCGCUAGUUAUGCAUUGUGCUUUUUCAUACUUUCAGGUUAUGUGAUCAUAUUUUUGAAUGAGUUUUUAUAUGAAUAUUUAAAAUAUUAUAAGAAUCUCUUCCAAUUUUUUUUUUUAAUAAAGCAUGAAUUUUUAACCGCAAAAAAUAUAAAAAUUCAUAUUUAAUUCACCCCUUAAUAAUGACAGAGAGAAUUCUAUAAUGUACUAAACAUGACUGUGAAAAAAAAUUAAAUAUUUUAAUGAGACACAUAAAUUAACUUAAAUGUAGAGACAAAAAGUAAUGAUGUAAAACUUUUGAAGGAUCGAAAGUCGAAGAAAAAUGUUAAGGUAAUUAAAGCAAAAAGUUAGAAAUAUUUAUAAGAAAAAAAACAUGAAAAUGUAGAAGAAACUCAUUAAAUAUUACUAUUGUAUAACUCGUUAAACUAUUUUUUAAUCUCCCGCGAACAAUAAAUAUAGUCUUAUUUGUUACCACUAACCAAUUUAUAUACUUGUCCUUAGGAGUGGGAAUUGGUUGAACUAAGUUAAGCUUUUUUUUUUUUUUUUUAAGAAACUAAGUUAAGCUUUGUAAGCUUGGUCUGAUUUAAAAAAAACUUAAAGCCUAAGCUGACAUGUAACUUGACAUAAACUUAGGAGAAAGUCUUCCUUGGAUACAAGCCCAACACAUCAUAUUUGGGCACAACCAAUAAAACCAUGACAACUCAUAAAAGCUAAAAUUUUGUUCUUUUUUUUAUUUUCUGAUAAAAAAAAAAAAUCUUUUAUUACUUUGGGAUCAUAACCCAUCACUUAUCCCGCCCUUUUUGUUACCGUGUAUAUCAUCACCUCUCAUCCAUUUUUUCUCCAUGGUUUAAUUUCAGUAACAAGCUAAUUUCAAUGGCUUUUUUUUCCGAUUUCUUUCUCUGAUUAUUCCAUCCAUAAGUUGUAACAAGCUAUUUCACUUGCUGGUCUCCCUUUCAACAUCAACUCAUUCCCAUUUUCUCUAUUUUCACUGUUCAUCAUGUAAGAAAUUCUUUUUCCUUUUUCAUUCCUCCAUAUGUCACUUAUUUAUUGUGUGAAAAUUAUUUGUUUUAUGAUUUUGUAGAAGAAGCUCCAUGUUACUCAAUAAGUUAUACUAUUUUUUUAAUAAUUUUUUUUUUCAUCUAAAGAUGGUUAUAACAUUUUAAUGCCUUUACAUGUAGUUACUUGAUCGAUUCAAAUUAUCAUUAUCAAAUUUGUAUGUAGAUAAUUUAUUUUGAAAGUUGUUUUGUUUUUGGAUAGAACAUGUUAUUAUGGAUCAAAUUAAAACGGCAGUACAGAGACAUUUUUAAUAUACAUGUUAUUUAUGUUCAAUUAAAUGAUGACUUUGGUCUGUUUACGUUAGUUAUCACUCAAUGACUCACUUGCAUCUAUAAUUAUUUGUAGAAUACAUAUGGAGGGUUCUGAAUGUCAAGCAGUUGAAAUUGACAAGCCCAGAGAUAUUUUUCUUGGUCAAGUUGUGCAGAGCAAGGAUGAAGCUUAUAACUUAUACCAAGAACAUGGCUUCAAGAUGGGUUUUAGUGUAAGAAAAGGGAAGGAAUUGUACUAUGAUAAUGAUAAAAAGAACACACGUUUGAAAGAUUAUUAUUGUUCCAAACAAGGGUUUAAGAACAAUGAACCAGAAGGAGAAAUCGUAGGUGAAGUUGCUUAUCAAAGGGCUGAUUCAAGGACAAAUUGUAAAGCAAUGGUGCGAUUUAAUGUUAGCAAGGAUGGAGAAUGGCGAAUUACUAAGUUGAUAAUGGAUCACAACCAUGCUUUGGUACCGCUUGAGCAAAGACAUUUGUUACGCUCUAUGAGAAAAGUAUCAGAAACCAAAGGAGGUCUCAUAAAGUCUAUGGUUAAUGCUGGUAUGAAAGUUACUCAUGUUUGGAGUUAUUUAGGAGAAGAGGUUGGUGGAUUUGAUAAGCUUGGCAUGACAAUGAAAGAUGUGCAUAAUUUUGUCUACACUGAAAAGAGUAAAUUAAUUAAAGGUGGAGAUGCCCAAUCUUUAAUCAAUCACUUGCAAAAUAGACAAGCACAAGAUGCCAUGUUCUACUAUAGUGUGCAGUUAGACCAAGAAUCACGUUUAACCAAUGUGUUUUGGAGAGAUGGUAAAUCCAAAGUUGAUUAUGAUUGUUUUGGAGAUGUUGUGGUUUUUGAUACCACUUACCGUACUAAUACAUAUGAUUUGAUAUGUGCUCCUUUUGUUGGGGUAAAUCAUCAUUUGCAAAAUGUUAUGUUUGGUUGUGCUUUGUUAUCUGAUGAAACUUCUGUUUCUUUUAAUUGGCUAUUUAAAGUGUUUUUGGAGAGCAUGGGAAAUAGACAACCAAAAACAUUUUUUACAGAUCAAGAUGGAGCCAUGGCCAAAGCAAUCGGAGACGUAAUGCCAAAUACAUGUCACCGUUUAUGCUUAUGGCAUAUAUCAAAGAAUGCACCUUCUCAUUUUGGUGAUCUUAAAUCUGAUCAAAAGUUUCAAGGUUUGUUUUGGAAAUGCAUGUCAGGCUGUGAUUCAAAAGAAGAGUUUGAAAGCACUUGGAGUUAUAUGAUUAAUGAGUACAAGCUUCAAAAUCACAAGUGGUUGAAAAGCAUGUAUAAAAUUCGCCAUAAAUGGAGCACUGCAUAUAGCAAGGAUGUGUUCUCUGCUGAUAUCAAGUCAUCUCAAAGAAGUGAGAGUACAAAUAGUGUUUUAAGUGCGAUUGCCGGAGCAACAACCAGUCUCAGUCAUUUCUUAUUAGCAUUUGAAAAAAUGGUAAACAAGUGGCGACAAUUAGAGACUGAAAAGGAAUUCAAAAAUAGCCAAAGUAUGCCUCCCCGCAUCAUUAAUAUCAGUGAGACUUUGAGACAAGCAUCUAUGAUAUACACUCACAAGACUUUCAAACUUUUUUUGAAUGAGUAUCUUGCUGGAACGGGUGGAAGUACUUCUAAAGACAUUGGAGAAUCUGAUAAUUUGUCAUAUCAUGAAGUGAGUUCAAAUCAUAUGCCUAAUAAGAAACAUAUGGUAGUAUUUGACUCCUCUGCUGCAAAGAUCAGUUGUAGUUGUCGAAAGUUUGAUUCAAUGGGCAUUCUUUGUAGUCAUGCUUUGCGAAUUUACAACAUCAAAGGUAUAUUAAAAAUACCUGACCAAUACUUUCUGAGAAGAUGGUCAAAAAAAGCAAGGGCUGUGAUUUAUGAUCACAUAGAUGAGAGUUCAAAAGAAAAUUCUAUCUCAGAAAAUGCAAUGAACAAUGGUGGUGAUUCCAUGAUCCUUUAUCGCAAUGCUAUUAUGAAGUUUUUUUAUAAUCUAGUUUUGGAUAGCCAGGAACACAAAGAAACUCAACAAAUCAUGUGGAAAUUGGUUUAUGGUGGAGUUAAGAGUGUGCACCAAUGCAUCAAUGAGCUCAGUUUGAUUUCAAAAGCAACAACUAGUGAGAAAAAAUUCACUCAAAAUGAGGAUAGUGAUCACAUUGCAAUUUAUAAUCCUCGCCGCGCAAAAACUAAAGGAAUGUCUAAUACUCGCAUGAAAGGGCAUUUUGAAAAAAGAAAAGGAUCAACAACAAAAGAAAAGCAACAUAAAAGUGAGUUUCUUGAUUAUUUUUUAAGUAUACUUUCAUCAUUUAUUGAACAUGUUUAAUAUUUUGUUCUGUUAAUAUUUUUUAUCACAGAGAAAAAAAAAAAAGAUAGCUUUUGUUCCAUUAGUUCUUCCAUGGAUGGGCCUUCUAAUAUUCUCAAUAACAUGGACAACACUUCUAAUGUUCCUUCUACUUCUUUUGGUGCACCUUUAGAGGUUUAUAAUUUAAUUAUCUCAAUUUCUUGAUAACUUUGAAGUUAUGAAUGAUUUCAUUGUGGCUAAUAACCUUCUUUUACAUAAUUUAAUAGGGUUAUAAUUCCUCAAGUUGGGGUUUAAAUACUCCAUCCAUUCCAUUUACUAAGAUGUUACAAGGAAUUGGCACAUGUAACUCAUUGAUUCAGGUAUCUAUGUAUGUAGAUAAUCAAAAGAUAACUUCAUUCAAAACUUAAACAUGUCUGCUUGCUCAAGUAUUCAAUUAUAUUGUAUGCAGGAAUCUCCAAGUGGUGCUUUCCAAGAUAGCCAAGAACAUAAAAGAAGUUAGAGAGAAGUUGAAAUGGGCUACUGGUUUUUUGUAUGCAAUAGAAGAUUAUAGCCUAAUUUUGGUUUUAGUUAUGCAAUACUUCUGGUUUAAGAGAUGCUGAAAGCUCAAAAUUGGUGGUUUUGCUUAUGAAGUGGCCCGCUUCUACAUUAUGUCGUGAAUAGCUUUUGUUUAGCAUUUCUUUUGGUGUACAAAUUAUAGCUCUUAUUUUGCUCUUGUGCUCAAGUUCAUGUAUCAGUUUAUGCCACAUUAAUAUGAGCAACAUGAAACAAGCUAAAUCUAUAUUUUGGUUGUAACAUAUUGAAAUAGAGCUGUAAUAUAUCAGUUUAUAUAUCAAUUUAGCUUUCUCUUAAACUAGUAGCUAUUUUACUUGUUUUUGAAUCUUAUAGCACAUUAUAGUUGUUGUGUCUUAUAUCAACAAGCCCAAUAGUUCAACAUCCCAAAAUUAACAUUCUGAUACAAACACAAUCAGUUAAAAACUCAACACAUAAAUAAACAACAAAAGCAAUAAGGGAACCACAAUGAUAAAACAGAAUGCUUCCAUUGAUGGACAAAACUCUUCCAAGAAUUGAUUCAAUCUUACAAUUACAAGAAAUGGGCAUAACAAUAAGGACUGCUACAGAGUAAGGAAAUACUAAGAUCCAAUUUAAUUCUCAACCAUAUUGAAAAUAAUCAUAACCUAAAUCCCCAAAAUCCCAACCCAGACUCCAUAAAAGACAUGGUUAAAGUCUUGAGUUCUUCCACAAUCUCAUCAGAACGUGGUGCUUUGUUGUGCGGUUAUCAUAGCGGAUGGAGAAGACGAGCCAGUGCAGCGCGCGAUGGACUUAAGGUCGAAGUAGUGGAAGCACAGCAAAGUUCGCAGGCGGAGAUCGCAGGUGGCCACAAAGUUGGAAGAGAGAAAGACAAUUAAUGGUUUUUUUUUUUUAUUAUUUUAUAUAGAAAAUAUGUGAUAGUCACGGAUUAAUCUUGAAAGUACAACCAUUUUCUUUUUUUAUUUUGCAACAGUAUAUCUUAUGAGCUGUCAUAAUUUAAUUGGAUGUGUCCAAAUAUGAUGUGUUGGGCUUGUAUCCAAGGAAGACUUUCUCUAAACUUAGUUUUUAAGAUUGUGUCCGAACUUUUUUUUUUUUUUUAGGGAAAGAUUGUGUCUGACUCUUUAAAAGUUUGAUAUGACAUUUUGACAUUUUUUUUACACACGUCUUAACAUGUUUAACUGUUUAUAUUCUAUAUCAACCUAUUUAAAUAAGUAAUUUUGCUUAAAAAGAAGAAGUAAUCACAUGAUUAAAUACAUGGCUAAAAUGCAUUUUUGAUCCUCUAUGUUUGGUUCUGUAGCAAUUUUGGCCCCCUAUUAAAAAAACAACUUUCCAGACCCCCAACUUCACCCCUUUUUGCAACUCAGUGACCCCCUCCUAUUUUGACUAGGUCAAAGCCCACGUGGCCAUGAGAUGGACGCCACGUGGGUAAUUUUUGAAUUAAAAAUAGGGUUAAUGGUGCUUUACCUCCCUGUAAUAUAGGUCAUUUUUUGUUUUUCCCCCUGUAAAAUAUUUUUUUUAUUUACCCCCUGUAAAAAAAAUAAAUUUGGAAUACCCCCUAAUAGGUCAUAAAAAAACAACUUUAUUUUUUUUUUUCAAAAUUUUUUCGUUUUUUUAUGACCUAUUAGAGGGUAUUCCAAAAAAAAUAAAUUUACAGGGGGUAAAUCAAAAAAAUAUUUUACAGGGUAAAACACCAUUAACCCUUAAAAAUAAAUGAAAAUGCGAUGUGUGUAACUCACAAUUUAAAAAAAAUAAAAAAGAAAAAAAAAGAACUGGAUUUGAAUUGGAACAUGACUGCUCUCAACACCAUAUCCACCAUUCUUCAUCCACUACCCAACAACAAUCCGUCAAUUCUCAUCUCGCAAUGUUCGAAGCGGCGAAGACGAAGCAUGAGGAUCAAAGUGGCUACCACAAAGACCUAACACCAAAGACACGAGCACCAUGGGAAGGCGACAUGAAUUUCAAUUCGGAAGUAGUGGCGGACGCGGAGAUGAAGGCAUUUGUUGAAGAGAUGAAUGAGAAUUGGAAUGAAAGGAGAAAGGGGUUGAAGAAGGAGAAGGUUAAGGAGGAGAAUGUGAAAUUCACGUUCUUCGAUCUGAGGGCUUUAGAUCGAAACAACAUUUAUUGUUAUUGUUGUUUUGUUCUAAUUUCAUUUCAUUCACGGAUACUCUUUAAUCUAAGGGUUCUUCAAUCAGACUAUUCAAAUCAUUUUGUUUUUAUACAUCUUUCAUAUCCAUUAUGAUUCUGCAAAUCUGAGACAUUUUUAUAGCAUUUUAGCGGAUUAACGAAGGAAUGAAAUAGAUGAAGAAAUAUGAAUCGCAAGAGAGUGAGAUGAAAGGGAUGAAGAAAUCUGAAUCGAAGGAUAGUGAGAGGAAAUAAAUCUGAAUCGCGAUUGUGAGAUGAGAGGAAGAGGGAAUCUGAUAAGGGCUUUCAAAUGGAGUGUACAAGAUUAGAGGGGGAUCAAUUUUGUAUUGUUUGGUUUUGUGUCUAGACUAGGGAAUGGAUUGAAUGAGAUGGUGGUGGAUUUUGCAGAUAUGGUUUUGGGGAAGAAGAUGUGUUUCCAGAUCUUCAUGUCCUCUUUAUUUUCAUUUCUUUUUAUUUAUUUUUUCAUUUAUUUAAUUAGGUAAAUAAUUAUGUGGCAUUUUCAUUUAUUUUUAAUUCAAAAAUUAGCCACAUGGCAUCCAUCUCAUGGCCACGUGGGCUUUGA
rnacentral:lncRNA from 1 species